GCCUUUUGCUCUGUAUUUCACAACGUGAGAUGGUUAGAAUUUUACUAUGAAGUAUUUGAGCGGUGUAUCUUAGUGUACAGACAGGAUUUGCUUGUAUCAAUUUCACGUUAAGUGGACGACUGCGCAAAUCCAAAGUUCCUAAUCACACGGCUCUACCUGUAUGGAUAAUUUCGUUUCUGGAUUCUAUAGGAUAGUUGUCCAGCGGAUGUAACAUAGUGCAUGUGGCUACAUUUGUGUUUAUAAAUUUGGUUUUAGGCAAGCUAGAACAGUUGACGGAUGAGCAUGAGGUAAAGAACCAGUAUGAACUUAGGUGAUUUCUGAUACCAUGAGCACUGUUGCUACUUGUAUUUCUCUCCAUAGAUUGCAGCCCUUCUUUGCAUCGAUGUGGCUCAUUUUAAUGAAAAACAGCAGGAAAAAAAAAUGUGCCACAGCCUUUAAAUGUAUAUAUAAAAGUUAUGUACGGAUUUAAGUAUUUAAAGAUGAAAGGAAAAGUCCUAACUAACAUCUGUAAUUCUGCUGCUGUUUAUCAACUGCGGUCUGUGGGGCUUUAUUUCAAAGGACCUUAGAUUCAUGAUAUAAAAUGGCAGUUGUGGUUUAUUUUGAUAUUCUCAAAAGCCUCACGAACUGAAAACCCUGGAGUUCUGUUUGGGCAGAUAUGUUCCCAGCAUGAGGGAGAAUGAACAUUUCAGAAAAGAUGUCGAAUUGUUUCUUUCAUUUGAUAAGUCAUGACAACAAAAUUAUGGUCUUGACAAGUACACCCUCCGUAAAGUGAUCUAAACGCUCUUAUAUUUCUUUACGGAGGGAGUAUUUCCCCUCGUUUUUAAUAAAUCCUUGUGUUCAGUCUAUCAUGGAGGUGGAGCCAGAAAAAGAACUUUUGUUUUCUUUUCGACAAGAAAUAUUCCAGAUCCAUUUCAAAUGAGGAAUCACAACGCGCUGACCGACCAUGGCAUGGUAAAGCUUUAGUUGAGGAAUAUUCUGGAGGAUUCCAGAGAUAGGUUCAUUAAUCUAUUUGAAAUGAGGGAUCACAACAUGCUGUUAGUCAGUCUAUAUAACUAAAGGGAAGUCCCAUUAAGCUUUAUAUUUUCGGCAUUCUGGUAAUUUUCUGAAAGCCUUUUUUCACUUCUGACCGGCUUGCAUGCUCAGCUGUUGCUGGGGUUCACCCCGCACCUCACCGCACCCUUGGCUGUACCACAGAACCUAGUCGAGUAGUCAUCCUUUUAGGGGUAAUCAUGAGCUUUUUGCACAAAGUUGUGGGCUAAAUCGCCAAUUUCAACAUCAUCGAUUUCUGCUGGAAGUCUGGAACCCAAAGACAUAGAAACAUUCAGGUUGCAUUUCGGUCCCAGUUUAGCAAGGCCAUGUCCAGCUUGGUUCUAGAAUUACAUGUGCAUAGCUCAAGCGUCACUCCAGGAGGACAUGUGCUGAUCAGGAGCUUGAUGUCUUCAAUGACCUGCGUCGUGGCUGGCUAGUCCGGUCUGCGGCGAUCGCCUACUCAACCGGCCUGUCCUUGGUAGAGAAGGCAUCCCUCAUGGGAAGAGAUACUCCGAGUUGGCGAUUUCUAUGUCCGAGGGAUGGCCGCCGCUCAGCACCGUCCAUGCAACAUCUGACGCAAGGACCCCAUUACCUCAGGGGAAACAUAACACAUCGAAUUACUGCAUGCUAGUUAGUGCACAAAACAACGAUCAUCUUUGCAUGUAGGUGCUGACAAAAAACUCAUGGAAAAUUUAUUAAUUGCUUUGUAAAGUACUCCCUCUGUAAACUAAUAUAAGAGCAUUUGGAUCACUAAAAUAGUGAUCUAAACGCUCUUAUAUUAGUUUACGGGGGGAGUAUAUACUUGCAUGAUUGAGCUCCUAUCCUUCAAUAAGAAUCCAAAUAUAAGGCGUUCAAACCAUGAAAACAAGCAAACAAUAAUUCUGUCUUAACAGUAGAACUAGCAAAGAAUAAUUUUGAAUAGUCACUUAUACUACUCCAAAUUUAUUGAACAAUUUACCACUGACAUAUAACUUAUUUUAAAAUACCGUGUAAAAUUUUCAUCAAAUUAUGAGCUUCUAGUAAAAAUCUAAAAUGCCAGAACUAACAACAUAGCUGCUGAAAGCAGCAACUAACAAUCAACAAACAACCUUCUUGUUCUUGAUGUAAUUCUUGGCUCUUUAUUUUUAUAAUACAGUGGUUAUACAAAGGGAUAAUUAAUUUAAUUGAGAAGCUUACAUGACAAAAGUUUCACAUUGUUUCCAUGGGCAUGAACAAAAGUUGAAGGUCCACCCCCACUUCUUCAAUGCUCACAUUUUCUCAAUCACUUCUCUUUUGAUUAUUUUAUUUUAUUUUUACCUAUUAGUUUCUUGGAUAAAAGUGGAGUUUACAAGGUAUCAUGGAGGAUAUUACAUCAAAUUCUAACCCUCUUCCUAUUUGUUGACAUUGCAUACGAAAACAAGUUAAUAACAAAGAGUAAAUGCCAAUGCAUAUUAAAAGUAGUUUCUUGCAAUUUUAGCAUCUUGGAGACAUUGAGAGGGCACUCAUAUCUUCAUCUAUCAUAAUUAUUGCAAGAAGUAGCAUCAAACUUAAUAUUAUAAGUUUAAUUAACAUCAUCAUGAGGACAAGCAAAUUUUAGGCCACGAACAUAGUAUUCAAUACACUCAAAUUUCUCCUCUAAAGUGUAGUUAGGAGAGUCCAAAACCAUCAUAGGACUUCCAUAAGUGAGAGUAAAAUAAUUAUUCAUAGUUUCAUCAUCCAUAAUAGUAUCAUAAUCAUCUUCAAGUAAUCCGUUCAUAGGUGCAUUGUGAUAUUCAUUCCAAUUUUGAACACAGUCUUCACAAAAACAAAUUUCAUGUAAUGAGCUUUGUGUGUCAUCCAUUAGUAGCAGCAACACGAACAUCACAACUAUCAUCCAUAAACCUAGAGAGCAAAUCAUCACAAAAAUACAUAAUUUUGGUAUUUUUAAAUAUAAAAUCAGACCCUUAAUAUUACUUAGUAUAAAAAAACAAGUGCAAAUGAGAAUAUUCGACUUAGCGUUAUGCUCCCGAAAACGGCGCCAAAAAGGUCUUGAUAAUCCCCAAGUGGAGUUACUAUAGCUCUCUCCAAUGAGGAUGUGGAGGUAUAUGAGUGUUAUAGCCCCUAGGAGCUAAAUGUAGGUUUCCUACUCUCUAGUAGGAUAGGAUUCAAGGAGGUGACUAAAGUACUUAUAAAAGAUAAAAGUAAAAUGUCAGGGGUUGUAACCAAAAGAUUUACGAGAAAAACGAGAGAGCUUGAGUAUGUGGUGGUUGUGAUGAAUGUAGCAGGAUCCAAUGUGAGCAAGUUUCUGGGCAAUUGGCUAGUUUAUAUAUUCAUGGUUGAUUUUCUUAUCUUGGGAACAAGUCUAAUAAUGACACGAAGAUGUGUCGCGGUGUCUACCUAGGCAAUUACCCUUCAUACAACUUUAAAAGUUAUCUAGGCCUGAGCGACUACCCUUCAUAAUUGAAAGUUAUCUCAAGCUUAAGCGAUGACUGUAGGAUCGAAAGUAUGUCUGGAGGGAGGGGUGACUGGACUACUUGACCAAAUGAAAACUUGUCCUUUUCCCAAUUUAGUUGUAGGCAAGUUUUAGCAAUUCUACCAAGUCAAGAACACCCUACACAUGCAAGUCUAGGAGUUGAGCAGCGGAAAGUAAAGAAUUUGCAUAUGAACGUAAAGGAGAGAUAUGAGAAAUCAAACGCAAUGAAGACACGAUGAUUUUUGGCGUGGUUCCGAUAGAUGGUGCUAUUGUACGUCCACAUUGAUGGAGAUUUCAACCCACGAAGGGUCCACGAAGAAGCAACCUUGUCUAUUCUAUCAUGGCUUAUGUCCACGAAGGACUAGCCUCACUCGGGUAGAUCUUCACGAAUUAGGCGAUCUCCUGACCCUUACAAACUCCUUGGUUCAACUUCACAAGAUCUUGGAGGCUCCCAAGUGACAUCUAACCAAUCUAGGAGACACCACUCUCCAAAAGGUAAUAGAUGUGUAGUUGAUGAUGAAAUCCUUGCUCUUGUGCUUCAAAAGAUAGUCUCACCAACACUCAAUCACUCUCUCACGGAUUUGGCCAUGGUAGGAGAAGGAUUUGAGUGGAAAGCAACUUGGGGAAGGCUAGAAAUCAAGGUUCAAAUGGUAGGGAUGGAAUCUCUUGAUCUCAACACAUGAGUAGGUGGUUCUCUCUCAGAAAAUGAAUGGUGGAAGUUGUGUUUCAUUCUGAUGGCUCUCUUUGAGAGUAAGUGGGGGUGGAGGGGUAUAUAUAGGCUUCACCCAAAAAUCCAACCGUUACAACCUUUUGACCCAAAUCGGUGAUACCAGAUCAAAAUCCCGGUGAGACCGACUAGUGUAAAAUAUUCAAACAUUGGAGGUCUCGGUGAGACCGAAGUGGAACAUCUCGGAGCGACCGAAGUGCAAUGACUAGGGCAAGACCUCGUUUCGGUAGUUCCGAUCGUUUCAUCUUGGUAAUUUUGAAAUGAAGCAACUUCACCACAGAAACUUGGUCAUGCCAUCUCGGUGUGACCGAGAUCCAUACCGAUAGAACAGAAUGUUAGGGUUUGGCUCAGGCAAUGUAUGUGAUCAACUCGGUGAGUCUAGAAUAGAGAAUUUCGGUGGGACUGAGAUGACAAUUUAGGGUUUGGACAGAUGUGAUGUGGAGAAAGUGCUUGAGGGUUUUGGAGCAAUAUCUCUAAGCACUUGAGCAACAAACUCAUCAUCGGUACCUCAUCCACUUUUAAUAGUAUUGGCUUUCCUAUAGGACUCAAUGUGAUCUUGGAUCACUUAACCAAAAAUGAAGAAUCUUGUAGCUUUGCCAAUUUCAUGUCCUUAGUAUUUUGAGGGGUCCACAAUCACUAGUCUUUGCCAUGCCAGUCAUUGAUCUUUUCUGAAAUCUAUUAUCAAUGAGCAUUAGAUCAAUGAAUUAUAUGUUGUUAUUAGUUGCCAAAACCACCCAGGGAUUAGUUGUAGUUUCAAUUACCCUUCAUGUCCCUUGAAGGUUAUUUCAUCACCUGCCACUACUGGGAGAUAAGGCACUACAUUGUAAGAUGGACUUUGUACUCCCCUCAAAAGUGUGGUUUUCUUGGGAUGAACCUAAUUUAGUAUGCUACUACGUCGAGCCUACAUGCAGUUAAAAUUGUUCUCUUAGUAAGGAACAAAAGCACUAAGAUCCAUUAAGGUAAAAAGUCAACUAUAAUAUUCCUCUAGGGUCACCUUAAUUCCCCUAAGUUAUAACUCCUCUAUGCUUGGAUCGAUAAUAUCUGUCACUCUAGGAUCUGCACGCAAAUUUAGCAUAACGCAUUGCAGGACCUAAAGUGUUCCCCCUAUGUACUCUAGGGUCCACUCGUACACAUGACACAAAGAUUGCAUAUAAACUAACAUUCAACCCAUCAUUAUAUUAUUUCACCAAUGCCAUGGAGCAAUUUACUACCCAAACAUAGACAUAAAGAUGCGAUAAUUCAUGGAAAAUAAUUUAUAGAACAAGACAUCAAUAUUUUUGAAUGUAUUACAGUGGUUUAUGGAUGGAGAACCCUCUGAUCAAAGGAUGAAGAUGGUGGUGGAAACAUUGGUGCAGUCAUUGGAGACGACGACGAUAUGAUGGUUCCUCCGACAGUGUUUCGGCACCGUCGGAAGGGAGGGGUAGAGAGUCCCCCUCCUUAUUCCUUGGACUCCCCCCUAGGUGGGAGAAGAGCUCUCUGAUUUUUAGUAUCUAUGGUCGUGGAGCACGAGAGUUACCCCUCAGACAGGAUCUGACUUUUAAGGGGAGCCAUUUCUAGACGCUAAAAUCCAAGUCCCAUCAUGGUUUUGUAAUUGUCCGAAGAUCUGUAACUCCAAAAGAUCUAAAAUUUUGGAUGUUCAUGUGAAUGAAAGGGGGUGCCAAAAAGGAGAUUGUUUGGCAUCCCCAAUUUUACCCUCUUGUGAUUCUCCAGCAGUGUUGUCAUAGCCUAUCCUCCGUUCCAAGUGAUUUGGUCCAUGACAAUGGUGGGUUUGAGCCUGCUACAAAACCAGUGUCAAGGAUUGAAUUGCAAUCUAGUUUUGUAGUUGGGGUCAUGUUUGAAUAAUGCUUGGACUGGAUAGUAAUUUUACUUUUUUGAUAGGUCCUUUUGUAUGAAAUGUCCCAAUGCUCGAAAGUAUUCUUCUGCUCGUGAGCUCAUAUGCACCCGCGAUGAACAGUAAAAUCAAAAAAUAAUAUAAAAACUGAUUAUUUUGGAAAAAAAUUAUCGAUGGUAUUUUUUUGAAGAAAAACAUUCCUAAAAAACAAUGCUCCAAAAUGUUUUUUUCGAGAGUACGCAUACUAUAUUUUUAUAGAAGAAUAGAUCGACGUUUACAAGAAGCCCAUGGAGCAGUUGCGAACAUCCACACCACAACUACCAAAAAGCUCUAAAAACUACUCUCUCACAAAACACAUAAGACCACCUACUCCGACUUGUUUCCAUUCACACAGCUCACUCGCAGUGUGCACGACUAGUUGGCUCGAUGACUUAUGUUGAUCCAUUCUGUUGAAAAAUGAGGCAUUCCUCUGCUUCCAAAGAGCCUAGGUGAUCGCGAUGACUAGAGUGUCAAAUUUCCUUUUAUAUGCACCGAGAAGAGUUGUCACCAGUCAAGCAACCAAGGAACCAACUAAUCACGCAUGUCAGGGCAUAUUACGUUGAUACGAAUGUGGUCGAAGCACCGGUGCCAAGCCUGCCCCGCGUACACAAUUGCGUUAUAAUAUUAUCCACAUUGUCCUCCGCCUGCAGACAUGAAUAGCAGGGCGAGGGAAUGUCUUGCAAACCACAGCGCGGCGAUCAGACGUCCACAACCGGUACUGGAUAGCCAGCUAAGAAAAUAUUUUGCACUUCAAGGGGGCCAGCUUCUCCACAUGAGUUUCAUGCUUGAUUAUCUCGGGAGGCCUUGGCAGAGAAACGAGUAGACAAAGUACACCGAAUAAACUCGUGAAGCCAAAGGCGAUGUAAGACUACCCGGGGCCUCAAUAUCUCUCUAAACCAAAGUAAUGGUGUGGCGCAUGUGAACAAACUGGAAAGACAUCGUAAAGGGUAGGUUUAUUUGAAUGUCAUUCUCCUAUGUAGCAUUAACCAAAUCUUGCUGCACCGUGCGACUAUUCUGAGUCCGUUUGCAUACUCCUACACAGAUCAUAGGAGCAACAUCAGCAAGCGAUCGAGUACCGAUCCAGCGAUCACCAAAAUAGGACGUUCUGACCAUUCCCCGCCUUGAUUUGGAUCAGACUAUGAAAAAACCAUCGAGCUUCCUUAUCGACCAUCAUUUGUAUACUCUGCCAAGGUCUCUAGAUAUCUGUUCUUCGCAGCCACUCCCCAUGCAUGUAACACCCUCGAUGCGGCUAUAGCUCCCACGUGUCGAGGCACGAUUUAGAGACAUAACCGCAUUGAAAGCAAUGUCGCAAGUCAGACAAUCAUUACAACAUCCCAUGUAAUAUAUAAUAAAAGGGGAAGAUACAUAGUUGGCUUACACUCGCCACAUCAUAUCAAAGUACAUAAAUAACAUCCAUCAUUCAAACACUCAUGGCCCGACUAUGGCGCCAAAAUGAAAGAGAACCCAACAUGCGACACGGUUCCAAUCACCCCCAACUGGGCACCACUACUGAUCGUCAGGAAAGGAAACGUAGUAACGCUGAGAGUCCUCGUCGAACUCCCACUUGAGCUCGUACUCGUCACCUGGAGCGGAAUCACCUGGACCUGCAUCUGGAUUUAUAGUAAUCUGUGAGCCACAGGGACUCAGCAAUCUCGCACCCUCGUGAUCAAGACUAUUUAAGCUUAUAGGAAGGAUAAGGCAAAUAUAUGUGGAGCUGCAGCAAGCGACUAGCAUAUGUGGUGGCUAUCUUAUUCGCAAAGAGAGCGAGAAGAGAAGGCAAAGCACGAGCGAGAAGCUAGAAGAACAACCUGCGCAAGCAUAACUCCAACACCAUGUCCACUUCCCGGACUCCGCCGAGAAGAGGCCAUCACGGUAACACACUCAGUUGAUUCAUUUUAAUUAAUUAAGGUUCAAGUUAUCUACAACCGGACAUUAAAAAAUUCUCAUAUGCCCAUAACCGCGGGCACGGCUUUCGAAAGUUCAAUCCCUGCAGGGGAGUCCCAACUUAGCCCAUGACAAGCUCUCACGGUCAACAAAGGAAUAGACCUCCACCCGAGACACACCGAUCAGACUCGGUAACCCGGUACAACAAGACAAUUCGACAGGUUAAAACAAGGCCAGCAACACCGCCCGAAUGUGCCGACAAAUCCCGAUAGGAGCUGCACACUCAGAUUGUCCAAACUUCCGGUAGGCCAGCCCAGAGUUGCCCCUGGUAGCCACCGGCGGCUGACGGUUUGGACCAACACUCAGAGGAGCACUGGCCCGGGGGGGUUAAAAUAAGAUGACCCUUGAGUCUGCAGAACCCAAGGGAAAGAAAGGCUAGGUGGCAAAUGGUAAAACCAAGGUUGGGCAUUGCUGGACAAGCUUUAAUCAAGGCGAAAUAUCAAGGGGUUCCCAUUAUAACCCAACCGCGUAAGGAACGCAAAAUCCGGGAACAUAACACCGAUACGACGGAAACUAGGGCGGCAAGAGUGGAACAAAACACUAGGCGAGAGGCCGAGCCUUCCACCCUUUACCAAGUAUAUAGAUGCAUUAAGAUAACAUAGCAAUAUAAUGAUAUCCCAACAAGUAAAUAAAAGAUGUGCCAACAAGGAACGACCUCCAAUCUUCACCUGCAACUAGCAACGCUAUAAGAGGGGCUUAGCAAAGCGGUAACAUAGCCAAUCAACGGUUUGCUAGGACAAGGUGGGUUAGAGGUUUGACAUGGCAAUUGGGAGGCUGACAAGCAAAAGGUAGGCAUCAUAGCAUUGGCAUAGCAAGAGCGAGCAAACAAACAUAGCAAAGAUAGUAGUGAUUUCGAGGGUAUGAUCAUCUUGCCUGCACAGUUAUCAGAGUUGACUGGAUCCUCACAAGCAAACUCAACGGGCUCCUCGGUAGCGAACUCGUCUCCCGGCUCUACCCAACAAGACAAACAAGCAACAAGGAUACAAUCAACCACAUGCAAACUCAAUCAACACGAUGCAAAGAUGAUAUGCUAUGCUGGAUGCGAUGCGGGAUGCAAAAUGCAAGAUAUGACAGGAAAUGCAUGAAUUUGGCCUCAACUUGGAAUUCCAAGGGUGCCACUGGAAAGAUGAGAUAAAAUCGCUUGAAAACGAUAUAAAGAUCAUCGGAAUCGGAGUUACGGUUUAGAAAUGGCAAGCGUUUCAAAAUUGACACCGGUCUGCGAUUUAUAGCAAGUAGGCAUCUAAAUGCAAUGAGAUGAACAUGCUACAUCACCCAAACAUGACAACAAAAUGCAUGGCAGGGAUGCACACAAGAUGCUUAACAAAAGCCUAGCACCGAGCUACGGCCAAUUCAUCCAUUAUGAGGUUCAAACAAGCAUGUCAAAAACACAAAUACAAAACAGAUUCCAGACUUAGUGAAAUUAACACUUGUCUGAAGUUUCAGAUCACGAAGCCCUCUUCGGAGCAGCAAAACAACAUGAUACAUGACCUGAUUAUGAUAAAUAAGAACAUGGCAUGGAGCUACUCAACAAGCUUAACAAAAGUCCCUAAGUGACCUGGGGCCAAAAGGGAUCAUAAAAUAUACUAAUGGGAACACGAACAUAGCAAAAACAUAAUCAGUUUUCAGACUUAGUGAAAACUGAGACAUGCUAAAAUAUAACUCACGAAGGCAUGUAAACGAGCUCGAUGCACUCAUUACGGUGCAAGUCAUGGCAAGGCAAGCAUACAUCCAUUAAGAAGGCACAAAAUGCUAGCUAUACAUGGCAAGAACAAUGGCAUGGCUUGCAUGGAUCAAUUACAAUAACAUCGGCAAAAUCGCAAACGAGUUGACGAUCUGCCCAGAUUCACAACGAAGCAAAAGUAGAGCUCGAUUGACUCAAGCUAGGGUGCUCCAUAAUUGCAAAAAAAUACAUGGAUGGAUAGAGCAUAACAUGAUUAACAAAACUCCCUUACUGAUCAUCCUCAAAAGAGGCACGGAUCACUAGGAAACAACACGAACAUAUGGCAUCAUGAACUAAAUAAUUCUAGACUUAGUGAAAACUACUAAGUCCCUGAAAACAGAUUUCCCGGGUGCCUCACUUUGCAAGCUUGCACAAGUCACCACACACAUCCUAAAAAUGCAUGGGUUGCACCUCUGAAAAUAAGACAAAAUCCUUAACCAAACAUAUGAAGGACUCACAGGCAUAGCAUGCACACAAUAAUCAUGGCAAAAAUGACAAAAGUCUAAGAUGAACUAGCAGAUCUGACAAUUAACUCACGAAGCCUCCUUCUAACAGCAUUUCGGGCAUCAAGAUGCACUCAAAUGAAAAUGAUGCAAUGGAAUGAAAUGAUGUACUCGUCGAGACGAACAUUUUGAUAUGCUAUAUGUCCAAAACGGAGCUACAGAUGCGGAGAUAUCACUGGUCAAAGUAUGCUCGAAAAAUUAGGGUUCGGGAGCGAAAGUCAACCGAGAUAUUUCGGAUCUGAGAUCCAGAUCGGGCACGGGAACCUAUGCAUGCCGGAGUUGGGCUUGAAGCUCGCCGGAGUUGAGGUCGAGGUCGCCGGAGACGCGGGAUCCGGCCGGUCAGUGUAGAGGACGACGGGGCGGCGGCCGUGGCGCGCUUCCCGAGGCCGGCGGCGGCGCGGGGCCGGCUCGGACGGGGGCGCGCGCCGGUGGAUGGGGAGGCGGCGCUGGAGGCGGAGAGGAGCGGGGGCGCUCGGGCCCGGUGGCGGCGCACGGGGGCCGGGCGCGGGCCAGGCGGGCUCGGCGGCGGCNNNNNNNNNNNNNNNNNNNNNNNNNNNNNNNNNNNNNNNNNNNNNNNNNNNNNNNNNNNNNNNNNNNNNNNNNNNNNNNNNNNNNNNNNNNNNNNNNNNNNNNNNNNNNNNNNNNNNNNNNNNNNNNNNNNNNNNNNNNNNNNNNNNNNNNNNNNNNNNNNNNNNNNNNNNNNNNNNNNNNNNNNNNNNNNNNNNNNNNNNNNNNNNNNNNNNNNNNNNNNNNNNNNNNNNNNNNNNNNNNNNNNNNNNNNNNNNNNNNNNNNNNNNNNNNNNNNNNNNNNNNNNNNNNNNNNNNNNNNNNNNNNNNNNNNNNNNNNNNNNNNNNNNNNNNUAUUUAUAGGCAUAAGUGGAGCUAGGAGAGUCCAAAUGAGGUGCGGUUUUCGGCCACGCGAUCAUGAUCGAACGCUCUAGGACAUGGAGCAGAGUUUGGUGGAGUUUGGGCCAAAAUGGAGGGGUGUUGGGCUGCAACACACAUGAGGCCUUUUCGGUCCCUCGGUUAACCGUUGGAGUAUCAAAUGGAGUCCAGAUGAUACGAAACUUGACAGGCGGUCUACCGAUAGUAAACCAAGGCCGCUUGGCAAGUCCCGGUCCAAUCCGAAAAUGUUUAAUCCCCACACACGAAAGAAAGCUAGAAAUGACCACCGGAGGAGAACGAAGCACCGGAAUGCAAAACAGACAACAAGGAAAAUGCUCAAAUGCACGAGAUGAACACGUAUGCGAAUGCAAUGCACAUGAUGACAUGAUAUGAGAUGCAUGAAAGCGAAAACAACACAUGGAGAGAAAGACCCGAACCCGAGAAAUAAAUAUAACUUAACGCCGGAAACGGCAAGAGUUGGAGUACAAAUAGGGAAAGUUACAUCCGGGGUGUUACAGUGCACUCGUAGAGUGAGAGAUUGCAACUAUAGAUUUUUGACACCAAGUCCUCCACAAGACAUUGCCCACCAUUCAUGUAAUCCUUCCUGACCUAGAAGAAUAAUCUCAUCCACUUAUUAAUUUCUUCAAAAAUCCAUUCAGGAGCAUCAACAACCAUCAGGUGAUGUACCAGUCUUGCUGCCACCACCUAUUUGAUGAGGACAAGCCGUCCUUGCCUCUAAAUCAGACCACACUGCCACACCGGAAUGAAGUACUUAGCUUGAUCUGACAUUGAUUGCCAAUCAGCUUUGGAUAAUUUCUUGAUUGCCAGAUGCAACUUGAUACGUCUCCAACGUAUCUAUAAUUUUUGAUUGUUCCAUGCUAGUAUAGUAUUAAUCUUGGCUGUUUAUUAUGCAAUUAUAUAUCAUUUUUUGAGACUAACCUAUUAACCUAGUGCCUAGUGUCAGUUACUGUUUUUUGCUUUUCAGGAAAUCAGUACCAAACGGAUCCAAACGCUACGAAGAUUUUUGACGAUUUUUUCUGGACCAGAAGGGACCCUAGAAGCUUUGGGAGAAGACCUGCGGAGCCACAGGGAGCGACAAGCCCGCAGGGUGCACCCCCAUGCUUGUGGGCCCCUCGUGGCAUCUCUUGACCUAAUUCCACUUCUAUAAAUUUCCAAAUAUUCACAAUACAUUUAUAACCCACAAGUAUAGGGGAUCACAACAGUUUUCGAGGGUAGAGUAUUCAACCCUAAUUUAUAGAUUCGACACAAGGGGAGCCAAAGAAUAUUUGAAGGUAUUAACAGCUGAGUUGUCAAUUCAACCACACCUGGAGAUUAAUUAUCUGCAGCAAAGUGAUCAGUAGCAAAGUAGUAUGAUAGUUUUGAUAAUAGUAGCAACAGUAAAGGUAACAGUAAUAGUGAUAGCAAUAGUUUUGUAGCAAGUGUAACAAUGACGAUAGCAGUAGUAACUUAGCAAGAACAAUAUAGGAUAAAUUCGUAGGCAUUGGACCGGUGACUUGUUGGAUGAUAUUCAUCAUGAGACAGUUAUAACCUAGGGCGAUACGACACUAGCUCCAGUUCGUCAAUAUAAUGUAGGCAUGUAUUCCGUAAAUAGUCAUACGUGCUUAUGGAAUGAACUUGCAUGACAUCUUUUGUCCUACCCUCCCGUGGCAGCGGGGUCCAUAUUGGAAACUAAGGGAUAUUAAGGCCUCCUUUUAAUAGAGAACUGGAACAAAGCAUUAACACAUAGUGAAUACAUGAACUCCUCAAACUACGGUCAUCACCGAGAGUGGUCCCGGCUAUUGUCACUCCGGGGUUGCCGGAUCAUAACACGUAGUAGGUGACUAUAACUUGCAAGAUCGGAUCUAGAACAUGGAUAUAAUGGAGAUAACAUAAACGGUUCAGAUCUGACAUCAUGGCACCUCGGCCCAAAGUGACAAGCAUUAAGCAUGGCAAAGUCAUAGCAACAUCAAUCUAAGAACAUAGUGGAUACUAGGGAUCAAGCCCUAACAAAACUAACUCGAUUACAUGAUGAAUCUCAUCCAACUACUCACCGACCAGCGAGCCUAUGAAGGAAUUACUCACUCCCGGUGGGGAGCAUCAUGGAAUUGGCGAUGGAGAAGGGUUGGUGAUGACGAAGAAUGAAGACCCCUCUCUCUGGAGCCCCAAACGGACUCCAGAUCUGGCCUCCCAAUGAAGAACAGGAGGUGACGGUAGCUCCGUCUCGUGGAUCACGAUAAUUGUUUCUCCCUGAUUUUUUUCUGGAAAAAUAGGAUUUUAUAGCGUCGGUUUUAGGGUUUGCGGGGCCUCCAGGUGGGGACAACACACCUGGGCGUGCCAGGAGCGGGGGCCGCGCCCUGGUGGGUUGUGCCCACCCAGGUGCCCCUCUCUGAUAGGUCUUGGCUCCAGGAAUUUUUAUAUAUUAUAUAAAAAUUCCUCGCAAAGUUUCGUUCCAUUCUGAGAACUUUUAUUUCUGCACAAAAACAACACCAUGGUAGUUCUAUUGAAAACAACAUCAGUCCGGGGUUUGUUUCAUUCAAAUCAUGCAAAUUAGAGUCCAAAACAAGAGGAAAAGUGUUAGGAAAAGUAGAUACGUUGGAGAUGUAUCAACUCCCUAAAGCUUAAACCUUUGUUUGUUCUCAAGCAAUUCAGUUGAUAAACUGAAAGUGAAAAAGAAAAACUUUUACGAACUCUUUUGGUCUUGUUUGCAUAAAUAAGCUUAAAGAGCACCCAGGUUUUCAGCCAACAUUAUAACUAACCAUGCCGACAAUAACUCUUAAAGAUUAUAUUAACUCAUAUCAAUGACAUAAUCAGCUAGCGAGCAAUAAUAAGACAUCUCAAACGACAACACGUUGUCAAAACAACCAUGAUAUAAUAUGACAAUACUGGUAUCUCGCUAGCCCUUUCUGAGACCGCAAAAAUGCAGAGCACCUCCGAAAUCCAAGCAAUGACUAAACAUUGUAAUUCAUGGUAGAAAAGAUCCAGUCAUGAUGCACCCAACAUUAGCUACACACAACGCAUAAUUCAUGACAGCUAUGCUCUCAGGUUCUAGCGCUUGUUUAGAAGGUGAUGACACAACAUAAAAGUAAAUAGCUCAAGUUUCUAAAACAAGCGCGAUGGAAUCGGAAUCCCUAUUACCAUCCUUUUAUUUGCGUUUUUGAGUUCGGGACUCGGAAUCCCUAUUACCGUCCUUUUCUCAUGCGAUGGCGAGUGAAUAAACACUCGACUUGAGAAUAACCCGCUUAGCAUGGAAGAUACCGACCACCUCCUGUCGUUCCAUGAACGAUCCAGGCACACAAAAAGGAUAUAUUUUUAGAAGUUUUUAGAGGUGGCACAUGCAAAUUUACUUAGGACGGCAGGGUAAUACGGCAUAUAGGUACGUAUGGUGGACUCAUCUGGAAUAACUUUGGGUUCAAGAUUUUUGAUGUACAAGCAGAAUUCUCACUUAGUACAGGCGAAGGCUAGCAAUUAGAUUGAGAAGCGGCCAACUAGAGAGCAACAACGAUCAUGAACAUGCAUUAUGCAUAAGUAACAUUGGACACUAGCAUGAGUAUGAUAUGAUCACCAUGAACAUAAAUAUCAUAUAGGCUAUGUUGGUUUUGAUUCAACUACAUGCAUGAACAUGUGCCAAGUCAAGCCACUUGAACAUCCAGAGGAGGAUACCAUAUCAUCAUACUACAUCACGAUCAUUUUAACGCAAUGUUGAUAUCCAAGAUAAAUCAUUAUUCACUCCCAGCUACUUAUGCAUGGCAUGAGAAACUAUAAUCUCUAAUUUUCAUUGCAAACAUGUUUAAUCAUAAUGGGCUGAAUCAUGGAUACUAGGUUAAACAUAUUUACACAAACAGAACAAGUCGAGUUCAUACCAGUUUCUCUCUGCCACGACCAGUUCAUCAAUGUCGCCAUUAUUGCCUUUCACUUGCACGACCGAACGAUGUGAAAAUAAUAAUAGUGCAAGAGUGCCAUGGACUAAGAUGGAAUCUGCAAACAUUUUAUUCAAUAGGAGAAGACAAGGUAAAAUGGGCUCUUUAUUAGUUCAACAGUUAUUUAUAUGAGAGCCAUUCAACAUUUUCAUCGUGGUCUUCUCCUUGGUACAACUCGAAUAAAAAGGAAAGAAAUUUAGAGAAACACACUGAAAUGUUUUUGGAGUUUUUGGUUUUCUUGAUCAAGCAAAUAAAAGGGGAAAGCAAAAAUGAGAAAAACUAUUUACACGGGAAAGCUCCCAACAAGCAAAAGAAGAACAAGGAAAUCUUCUUGGGUUUUAUUUUUAAUAUUACUACUAAGCAUACAUAGAAAGUGAAUUAACUACAACUAAUUUUCUUGGUUUUUCUAAAGUUUUCCAGACACACAAGAAGAAAGCAAGAAAAUAAAUCUAAGCGUGGAUGAUACAAUGAAAAAGUGUGAACACCGACAAGAUGAAUAAAUGGACAUGAAUGUAAUGUCGGGAAACACAUACUCCCCCAAGCUUAGUCUUUUGGCCUAACUUGGUAAUCAAUCAGUAGCCUGGAUGGUAGUAGGGGUACUAAGGAGCGGGCAUCCACUGAUCCCACUGCUGAGGCUCUUCCUCUGCCUCUGCAGCAGCCUGAGCGUUCCGGUAGGCGAUGAUGUCCGUAGGCAUAAUCCUAUAUCCGCCCUAGCAACAGAAUCAAACAAAGCAGGAGCAGGCAGUGGAACAAUAUCACGAGUUUCAAUGCUAAAAACCAAGUUAUAAGGAAUAGGAAUGUCAGGAGAUCUAUCAUCAGUAAAAUGGUGGUGAUCCAUGGCAGCACGGUCUAGGUAAACCUUGGUCAGAGGGUAAUCAUGAGGGCGUAUCUCAACCUCAAAGUGAGCCGCCAAACGAGUAGCAUAAAUCCCACCAUGAAUUUUACCCUCGGAUUUAUUAAGGUGGAGGCGACGAGCCACAAUGGCUCCCAAGCUAUAAGUGUCGUUGCCCUCUAUGCACGACGCAGCAAGGUCUGGUGAGCUGAGCGCACCCACCUUCUCCCUAGCAAGCAAGCAUUUUGCAAUGAAAAAGAGCAAAGUAAUGAACCGCAGGAAAAUGCAAGCCAACGGCAGUGAUAGCUGACACCCCUCUCUCAUCUCCCAUUAUCAAAGUGCGAUAAAAAAAUCUCAAACUCCGCCGGCCUAGGCUCGGCUAAGCUCCCAUCAGAAGGGAUCAUGCAUAUGUCACAAAAUUCAGUAAGUGGUAGCUGAUGGUUUUCAGCAUAUAAAUCAAAGCUCACUUCAGGAGGAUUAUUCCUAGGCAGCAAAGUAAAGUUUUGAACAAAGAUGUUUGUGAGGAUUUGGUGCUGUUCACACUCAUCUGCGAUGAAGUCGGUGAGGCCGGCAUUAGCAGCAUAUUGUGCGAACUCCUUAAGGAUUCCAGCCUCUUCCAGGAACGGGGUGUGCGGUCAUUCACACGAUCGUACUUCCGCCAACCUCCGAGGAUGAACAUCACUAUCAAACGACUCCCCAAUAACACCCUUGGAGUUAUUCUUAGAGCCAAACUUCCUAAAGAUAUUCAUGGUUUUCCUAUGAACAAAAUUCUGAAUUUUAUUAGCCCACAAAAUUUUCUCAACAAAACUUCACAAAAAUGAUACCAACUACUCAAAGGGAUACAUAGAGGCCAUAACAAGCAUUCAAACUGCUUAGAACACUAAGAAUUCAACAUGCAAGCUCAUCUACAACAGCACCAAGAGUAGCUAAUUAUUCAAAAUAUAACCCACUAAAACAAAAAUUAAUUGGACAAAAGGUGGAGACACAUACCAAGCAACAAUCCCCCGAAACAGUUUCGAAAACGGAGCUUCAAGCAAAGAGAUUGAAAUCCGCGGGUUUGAGAGCAAGAACACAGGAGAGAGAGAGAGAGAGAGAGAGAGAGAGAGAGAGAGCAAUGGAGAUUUUUUUCUGGAGGUAAGUGAUGAAGUGGUGUAAAGAGAUAAGUGAGGGGGCCCACGUGGGGACCACAACCCACCAGGCGCGCUUGGGGGUCCUGGCGCGCCUGGGUGGGUUGUGCCCGCUUGGUGCACCUCCCUCUGAUGUUAUUUGCACCAAAAAUUCAGAAAUAUUCAGAAAAAAUCGUAUUAAAUUUUCAGGGCAUUCUAAGAACUUUUAUUUUUUGGCCAUUUUUUUGCACGGGAAAUUCAGAAAAUAGACAAAACAUGGCAUUUUAUUUUAUUUAACUAAUAAAAACAGCAAACUAAAAGUAGGGACAAAAGGUAGUGCUUACUAAAUUCAUCAACUUCAUACCGCUCAAAAAUGAUACAUUAAUAAAGUUGAUCAAGUCUUAUUAACAACCACUUUCGAUUAGCAUGAAACCGAAGAACUUUCGUAAAUCACUUAAUUACCUCAAUGGGGAUAUGAAUGUACCCAACAAUAAGCAUUUCACAUUUAUUUUUAACAAUAGGUAGAGGUAUUUGAAAACUUCCAAUAGUGAUUGUCGGAGAUUUUUCAAUAACAUUAAUACCAUUCACUUGGAAUUGUUUCUUCGAAAAGUGCACCGUAUGCUCAUUACCAUUGUUAUAAAAAGUGACCUUGCUUUUAUUGCAAUCAAUAACAGCCCCUGCAGUAUUCAAGAAGGGUCUACCAAGGAUAAUCGACAUGCUGUCGUCCUCGGGCAUCUCAAGUAUAACAAAGUCAGUCAAAAUAGUAACAUUAGAAACAACAACAGAAACAUCCUCACAGAUACCGAUAGGUAUGGCAGUUGAUUUAUUAGCCAUUUGCAAAUAUAUUUCAGUAGUUGUGAGUUUAUUCAAAUAAAGUCUUUUAUAUAAAGAGAAAGGCAUAACACUAACACCAGCUCCUAAAUCACACAAAGCAGUUUUCACAUAAUUCUUUUUGAUAGAGCAAGGUAUAGUUGGAAUUCCCGGAUCUCCAAGUUUUUUAGGUACUUCAUUUAUAAAAGUAUAAUUAGCAAGCAUAGUGGAGAUUUCAGCUUCCGAUAUUUUUAUUUUAUUUGUGAUGAUAUCUUUCAUAUACUUUGCAUAAGGAGGCAUUUUCAAGAUAUCAGUCAAGCGAGUACGCAAAAGACUGGCCUCAACAUUUCAGCAAAGUAUUCAAAUUAUUCAUCAUCAUUCUUUUUAGUUGACUCAGGUGGAAAAGGCAUAGGUUUUUGAACCCACAGUUCUCUUUCUUUACCGUGUUUUCUAGCAACAAAGUCCCUUUUAGCAUACCUUUUAUUCUUAGGUUAUGGGUUAUCAAGAUCAACAGGUGGUUCUAUCUCAACAUCAUUGUCUGGUUCUUUAUUAUUUGGUUGAGAGUCUUUAUGAACAUCAACAUUAUAUUUUUCAUUAUCACUAGGUGAGUGCUCAUUACCAGAUUGAGUUUCAGCAUCAGAGAUAGAAACUUCAUUAUCAUUAUCAGGAGGUUUUUCUAUUUCAGGUUCAUUAUGAGCAUGCAAAGUCCUAUCAUUUUUCUUCUUCUUUAUAGAUGAACUAGGUGCACUUGUGUUAGCUCUUUGUGAAUCUUGUUCAAUUCUUUUUGGAUGUCCCUCAGGAUAAAGUGGUUCCUGGGUCAUUUUACCUCCUCUAGUUGCAACUCUAACAGCAAAGUCAUGCAUAUUAUUAUUCAUUUCAUCAAGCAAUUCUCUUUGAGAUUUAGCAACUUGUUCUAACUGAGUUUGAACCAUAGAAGCAUGCUUUCCAACACCUCUAACAUCAUUUGAUAUUCUAAAUAACAAGUCACUCAAGCGAGCAAUCAUAUCAGAACUGUAUUUCAAUUGUUUCAUAACAUUUGCAUUGAAGUGAUCUUGUUUUCGAAUAUAGUUUUCAAACUCAUAAAGGCAUUGGCUAGGAUGCAUAUUGUGAGGAUUGUAAUUAUCAUUGAACUUCAUAAGAGAAUUUACCUCUACCACCUUAGGAAGUGGUGGUGUAUUAAGCCCAUGUACUUCUUCAAUAGGGGGAAAUUUUUUAACAUCCUCAGCUUUAAUACCUAUUUCUUGCAUAGAUUUCUUUGCCUCUUGCAUAUCUUCAUGACUGAGAUAUAAUAUACCCCUCUUCUUCGGAGUGGGUUUAGCCUGUGAUUCAGGAAGAGUCCAAUCAUCAUAAUUUUUCAAUAUAUUAUUCAAUAAUUCUUUAGCUUUUCCAACAGUUUGUUCUCUGAAAACACAGUCAGCACAACUAUCUAGGAAGUCCCUAGAAGCAUUGGUUAGUCCAUUAUAGAAGAUAUAAAGUAUUUCAUUUUUCUUAAGAGGAUGAUCAGGCAAAGCAUUAAGUAAGUGGCAAAGUCUCCCCCAAGCUUGUGGGAGACUCUCUUCUUUAAUUUGCACAAAGUUAAAUAUUUCCUGCAAGGCAACUUGUUUCUUAUGAGCAGGAAAAUAUUUUUCAGAGAAGUGAUAAAUCAUAUCCUGGGGACUACGCACACAACCAAGAGCAAGAUUAUUGUACCAAGCUUUAGCAUCACCCUUUAAUGAGAAAGGAAAUAAUUUGAGAAUGAAGUAAUAGCGAGUUUUCUCAUCAUGAGUAAAAAGGGUAGCUAUGUCAUUCAACUUAGUAAGAUGUGCCACAACAGUUUUAGUUUCAUACCAUGGAAAGGAUAAAAUUCAACCAAAGUAAUUAACUCUGGAUCGACAGAGAAUUCAUAAUCCUUAUCAUCAAUAAAGAUAGGUUAAGUAGCAAACUUAGGAUCACAUUUCAUUCUAGCAUUCAGAGAUUUUUCUUUAUACUUGCAUAAUAAUUUCUCUAGAUCAUCUCUAUCUCUGCAAGAAAGAAUAUCUCUAGUUGUUUCCUCACUCAUAACAUAACCUUCCGGUACCUUAGGCAAUUCAUAUCUAGGAGGGCUAGUUCUAGCAGGCAUUUCAGGAGUUUCAGUUUCAAGCUCAUCAUCAGAUUCAACAACAUCAUGUUGUAUAACUCUAGCAAUUUGUUUAUCAAGAAAGUCACCAAGUGGCACAUCAUCAUUAAGCAAUGUACUAGCAUCAUCAUAAGAAUUAUCCAUAGCAGAGGUAGCAUCAUCAAUAACUUGCGACAUAUCAGAAUUAAUAGCAUGUGGUGGUGUUGCAAGUUUACUUAUAACAGAAGGUGAAUCUAAAGAAGAACUGGAUGGCAGUUCCUUACCUCCCCUCGUCUUUGAGGGAAAUAUCUUGGUCUUAGCAUCCUUCAGAUUCUUAACAGUGAUAAUAUGGUAAUAAUCCCAAGUGACUCAACAAAUAUAGCUAUGCUCCCCGGCAACGACGCCAGAAAAAGGUCUUGAUAACCCACAAGUAUAGGGGAUCACAACAGUUUUUGAGGGCAGAGUAUUCAACCCAAAUUUAUAGAUUCGACACAAGGGGAGCCAAAGAAUAUUUGAAGGUAUUAGCAGCUGAGUUGUCAAUUCAACCACACCUGGAGAUUAAUUAUCUGCAGCAAAGUGAUCAGUAGCAAAGUAGUAUGAUAGUUUUGAAAAUAGUAGCAACAGUAACGGUAACAGUGAUAGCAAUAGUUUUGUAGCAAGUGUAACAAUGAUGAUAGCAGUAGUAACUUAGCAAGAACAAUAUAGGAUAAAUUCGUAGGCAUUGGAUCAGUGACUUGUUGGAUGAUAUCCAUCAUGAGACAGUUAUAACCUAGGGCGAUACGACAUUAGCUCCAGUUCAUCAAUAUAAUGUAGGCAUGUAUUCCGUAAAUAGUCAUACGUGCUUAUGGAAUGAACUUGCAUGACAUCUUUUGUCCUACCCUCCCGUGGCAGCGGGGUCCAUAUUGGAAACAAAGGGAUAUUAAGGCCUCCUUUUAAUAGAGAACCGGAACAAAGCAUUAACACAUAGUGAAUACAUGAACUCCUCAAACUACAGUCAUCACCGGGAGUGGUCCCGGCUAUUGUUACUCCGGGGUUGCCGGAUCAUAACAUGUAGUAGGUGACUAUAACUUGCAAGAUCGGAUCUAGAACAUGGAUAUAAUGGUGAUAACAUAAAUGGUUCAGAUCUGAAAUCAUGGCACCCGGGCCCAAAGUGACAAGCAUUAAGCAUGGCAAAGUCAUAGCAACAUCAAUCUAAGAACAUAGUGGAUACUAUGGAUCAAGCCCUAACAAAACUAACUCAAUUACAUGAUGAAUCUCAUCCAACUCCUCACCGACCAGCGAGCCUACGAAGGAAUUACUCACUCCCGGUGGGGAGCGUAAUGGAAUUGGCGAUGGAGAAGGGUUGGUGAUGACGAAGAACGAAGAUCCCCCUCGCCGAAGCCCCAAACGGACACCAUAUGUGGCCUCCCGAUGAAGAACAUGAGGUGACGGCGGCUCCGUCUCAUGGAUCACGAUAAUUGUUUCUCCCUGAUUUUUUUCUAGAAAAUAAGGAUUUUAUAGCGUCGGUUUCAGAUUCCGCGGGGCCACCAGGUGGGGACAACCCACCUGGGCGUGCUAGGAGAGGGGGGCGCACCCUGGUGGGUUGUGCCCACCCAGGUGCCCCUCUCCGAUAGGUCUUGGCUCCAGAAAUUCUUAUAUAUUAUAUAAAAAUUCCUCGCAAAGUUUUGUUCCAUUCCGAGAACUUUUAUUUCUGCACAAAAACAACACCAUGGUAGUUUUGCUGAAAACAGCGUCAGUCCGGGGUAAGUUUCAUUCAAAUCAUGCAAAUUAUAGUCCAAAACAAGAGGAAAAGCAUUAGGAAAAGUAGAUACGUUGGAGACAUAUCAUACAUUAAAGAUCCACCCAAAAUACUUUUUCCGCCGCCGCAAUUUUCUGUUCUUCGGAGAUCCCAUCUGGGGACCUUUUUCGAUAAUCUGUCAGAGGGGAAAUCGAUCACGGAGGGCCUCUACGUCAACCUUGCUACCCUUUUGAUGAUGUGUGAGUAGUUUACCACAGACCUAGGAUCCAAAGCUAGUAUCUAGACGACUUCUUCUUUCUCUUUGAUCUUCAAUACAAUGUUCUCCUCGAUGUUCUUGGAGAUCUGUUUGAUGUAAUCCUUUUUUGCGGUUUGUUUGUUGGGAUCUGAUGAAUUCUGGGUUUAUGAUCAGAUUAUUCAUGAAUAUUAUUUGAGUCUUUUUUGAUACAUGAUUGUUAUUGCUUUGUAUUUCUCUCUGAUCUAUUCAUUUGGUUUGGCCAACUAGAUUGAUUUAUCUUGCAUUGGGAGAGGUGCUAUCUGAUGGGUUUGAUCUUGCAGUGUUCAAUCCCAGUGAUAGAAUGGGACAUGCCACAUAUUUGUAUCCAUGCCAUUAAGGAUAAAAGUAUGGGGUUUAUUCAUAUUGAUUGGGUUUACUUUUUAUAGAUCAUAUCAUCUUGCUUAAGGCAUUACUCCGUUCUUUAUGAACUUAAUACUCUAGAUGCAUGCUGGAUAACGGUUGAUGUGUGGAGUAAUAGUAGUAGAUGCAUGCAUGAGUUGGUAUACUUGUCUCAGACGUGAUGCCUAUAUACAUGAUCAUUGCCUUGAACAUUGUCAUAACUAUGUGCUUUUCUAUCAAUUGCCCAACAGUAAUUUGUUUACCCACCGUAUGAUAUGUUCAAGAGAGAAACCUCUAGUGAAAACUAUGGUCCACGGGUCUAUAUUUAUCAUGUAUUAAAAUCCAAAAAUACCUUGCUACAAUUUAUUUAUCAUUAUUUUAUUUUGUGUUUUUGUUUAUCUAUAUACCAUUAUCAGACUUGAUACUUGCAAUUAACCGCCGAGGGGAUUGACAACCCCCUUGUUCGCGUUGGGUGCAAGAAUUUGUUCUUUUGUGUGUAGGUGUUGUUCACGAGGUCUUGCGUGGUUUUCCUACUAGAUUGUUAACCUUGGUUCUUAACUCAGGCAAAUACUUAUCUCUACUAUACUACAUCAUCCUCUCCUCUUAGGAAAUCCUAACGCAGCUCACAAGUAGCACAACCUUAAGUAUCUGUAGGGGAACUAUCCAAGGUUGUAGUUAAGCAUGCCUGAGACUGGUGUGAUCAGAUUCCUCACCCCUUAUGAUAAUAGCUGAUGACUUUCAAUAAUUUAUGCAUACGACCGAUGCCUCUCCAAAAGCAUGAAGGCUGCUCCUGACAAAUGACACGUCUUGCGAUGAUGGCUGAAUGAAGAGGGCAACAUUGUCAACAUAAAUAGAUAGCCGCUGAGUUGCCAAGAUGCCCGAGAAGGUACUGAUAACCCCCACCUCCAUCACUUUACUGAUAGAUCAGUCAAGGCCUCCAUCGCCAUGACAAAUAAGGGGAAGAUGGGAUCCCGUUGGUGCAACCCACGCGCGUGUGCAAUUUUCCUUCCGUGGACGCCAUUUACCACCACCUCGGUGCCAGAAGAUUGUAAUGGGAUGGCAAUCCAUCUCAUCCAAGUCAUCCCAAAGCCCUUGAUGCACAAUACUUCAAAGGGGAAAGGCCAUGAAAGUGACUCGAAUGCUCUUGAUAUGUCAAGUUUCAGGAACAAGGCCACCUCUUUGUGUGCAUGAAUCUUCCUAGCAACCUGUCUAAUUAGAAUGAAGUUGUCAUGGAAGUUUCUUCCUUGUACGAAGGUCGACUGGUUGAGCCCUACAAUCUCUUGCAUGCACCGCCUAGCUUGAUUUCCAAGCAUCGUCGCGAAUAGUUUAGCAAAGCUAUGCACGAGGCUAAUCAGCCAGAAGUGACCUACCUCCUCGGCAUCUAGUUUCUUUGGUAUGAGAACGAUGAGGGCCUUGUUUAGUUUCCUGAUACCAGGACCAUCUCCCACAUACAGCUUCAACAAGAUGGACAUUAUGUCGUGCUUAAUUAUAGGCCAAGAUUUGUAAUAAAAAGCCCACUGGCAAUUCCUUUAUCACCUCCGAAACCUCCUUCUCUGUAAAUAUGUUGUCUAACUCCUGGAGGUUCAGCUGAUUCAUACCUAGGUAGCCCAAAUCUAAGGUCUGCUCUCUAGCGACGGCAAAGCCAAGAAUAUUCUCAUAAGCCUCCAUAAAAAUUUCUCGUUUUGGCUCUGCUCCGUGAUCACCUUGCUGUCAUGCUUCAGAUGAAGGAUGAAGUUCUUAGACCUCUUGCCAUUGUCCACAUCUUAGAAUAGCUUGGUAUUCGCGCCCUCCUUCAACCAGCGGAUCGGAGACCUUUGCCGAGCAAUGGUCCGCUCAAGCGAUGCUAAUCCAAGGAGUGACAUUUUGAGUGAUCGUCCUAGCCAUAGUUCCUCCAAAAACAAGGCCAUGUUCUCUUGUGCCUGCUCUAGCUUGAAUACUACAUAGUUAGCCACUGCCAUCAUGAUCUUGACAUUGCCGAUUUUCCGUUGACCCCAUGCUUGAAGAGCCACAACUGUGUUCUGAAUAGCGCAUCCAAUCUGUUAAAAGGAUCAACAAUAUUUUCGUCACAUACCCAAGCAUCUCGAACAACGUCUUCAAACCCCUCCAUCUUGUCCCAGGAGAACUCAAAGUGAAACCUCUUCUUGGAACAGAAUGGGGCGGUCAUGGAAAGGUGUAGUGGCGCGUGAUAUGAGACACCUGUAGACAAAGCUUGUAGAAUGCAGUCAGGGUUGUCAAGCUCCCAGUCCAUCGAGACUAAUAGCCGGUCAAUCUUAGUCAUCAUAGGGGAGUCACACUUAUUAGUUCAUGUGAACCUUCUUCCAAGCAUGCAUAACUCUUUUAGCUCAUGAUCAUCCAAAAAGCUCCUAUACUUAUUGAUGGUAUUGUGAUUUAAGUUAGAAUUUGUCUUCUCUGUCACCCUGAAAAUCAUGUCAAAGUCACCCCAAAUCACCACAACCCCGAGUAAACAAUGCACCUAUCCCUUGGCUCCUCCAAGAAUUGGAACUUAAGAUCAUCUCCUUAUGGACCGUAGACACAAGAGAUCUACCACUUGCUGCCAUCUUUAGUGUGCACAAGGCCUGUGAGGAAGCUAGUGUUGAGGACAAUGUUAUCAAUCAACAUCCAAUAAAUGUCCCACACAAGAAUAAUGCCACCAUGUGUUUCAAUCGUCAGUAAGUAAGAAAAUCUGUCCAUGGAUGGUCCAAGACAUUGCAUAACAAUGAAAUUGUCAAUUACAUCAAGUUUGGUCUCUUGAGGGCACACCGAAUUCUCCUUAAUAGACUGAAAUAACUCCCUAACUGCGUUGCUCUUUGCAGGAUUGUUUAGGACAUGAACAUUCCAAUGUAAUACUUCAAGGUUUAUAUCCAUAAGGAACGAGAACUACCAUCCACCGAACAUGCACCAAUUAGUGUGCACUGACCAUCGAUGUUACAUUCACCUGGAGCUCAUCUCUAGAUGGGAGAGAUCUGCCAAAGAUUGUAGUGAUGACUCAAACAUGUUGCUCGCAUAGGGGUGAAUCAAAUAGUCCAAUACAAUCUCCAAGGCUCGCGGAAGCACAUGCCCGAGGAUACCUGAGACUCAGUUGGAUCGUCAUCACCUUGCCUACUGAUACGUCUCCAACGUAUCUAUAAUUUAUGAAGUAUUCAUGCCAUGUUUACAACAAUUUUAUAUGGUUUUGGUAUGAUUUACAUGGAACUAACCCGGACUGACGUUGUUUUCAGCAAACUACCAUGGUGUUGUUUUUUUUGCAGAAAUGAAAGUUCUCCAAAUGAGCUGAAACUUUCUGAUGAUUUUUUUGGAACAAAAGAGACCUCCGAAGCUUCGUGGGAGGGAUAGACGAGCCACGAGGAGGGCACAACCCACCAGGGCACGCCUGGUGGGCCUGGCUUGCCCCGGUGGGUUGUGCUCACCUCGAGGCCCAUCUUAGCAUGAAACCAACGCCAAAAAAAUCCUAUAAAUAGAGAAACCAUCAGGGGUUAACCUAGAUCAGAAGUUCCGCCACUGCAGGCCUCUAUAGCCACCGAAAACCAAUCUAGACCCUGUUUCAGCACCCCGCCGGAGGGGGGAAUCAUCUCCGGUGGCCAUCUUCAUCAUCGCGGCGGCCACCAUGAUGAGGAGGGAGUAGUCCACCCUCGGGGCUGAGGGUUUGUACCAGUAGCUAUGUGUUUAAUCUCUCUCUCUCUCGUGUUCUUGAGAUGUCAUGAUCUUGAUGUAUCGCGGGCUUUGUUAAUAUAGUUAGAUCAUAUGGUGUUUUCCCCUCUCUAUCUUGUGAUGAAUUGAGUUUCCCCUUUGAGAUUUCGUUUUAUCGGAUUGAAUACUUUUAGGGAUUUGAGAGUACUUGAUAUAUGUCUUGCAAAUGAAUACUCGUGGUGACAAUGGGGUAUUAUUUUGAUUCACUUGAUAUAUGUUUUGGCACUCAACUCGCAGAUUCCAGAGGUGACAUUGGGGUAAUCUACGCAUAGGGGUUGAUGCACGUUCUUGUCUUUGUUUCUCUGGUAGAAAUCUUGGGACACUCUUUGAAGUUCUUUGUGUUGGAUUGAGUAUUAUGAAUCUGAAAUUAUUUGGUGUUAUUUUAGUACGAACUCUUGGAUAGAUCGAUCGGAAAGAAUAGCUUCGAGGUGGUUUCGUACCCUACAAACGAUUUCUCUUAUGUUCUCCGCUAGAUAGGAACUCUGGAGUGAUUCUUCAUCGCACUUUGAGGGGUGGUUAUAUGAUCCAAUUAUAUUAGCACUGUUGAGAGAUUGCACAAGCGAAAGUAAGGACUCUAGGCCUCAUUUUCAAGCAUUGCAAUACCGUUUUUGUGCCCAUUUACUAUUUGCUACCUGACUGUUUUUAUUUAUUUAGAUUAUAAAAAUAUACUUCUGCCAUCAAUAUUACACUUUUAUCACCAUCUCUUCACCGAACUAGUGCACCUAUACAAAUUACAAUUGUAUUUGGUGUGCUGGGGACACAAGAGACUUUCUAUUAUUUGGUUGCAGGGUUGCUUGAGAGAGACCAUCUUCAUCCUACACCUCCCACGGAUUGAUAAACCUUAGGUCAUCCACUUGAGGAAAAAUUGCUACUGUCCGACAAAACUCUGCGCUUGGAGGCCCAACACGUGUCUACAAGAAUAACGUUGCGUAGUAGACAUCAAGCUCUUUUCUGGUGCCGUUGUCAGGGAGGUUAGGUAAGCAGCACUCACACCCCGUCAACGAAGCUCUUUUCUGGCACCGUUGCCCGGGAGGUGAGUGCUUGAAGGUAUAUCUUUAGAUCUUGCAAUUGAAUCUUUUAGUUUCUUGUUUUAUCACUAGUUUGGUUUAUAAAAGAAAACUACAAAAAAUGGAAUUGAGGUUGCAUCAUAUUAUUCAUCUUUAUAAUGUCUUCCGUGAAAUGAUGGAAAGUAAAAUUGUGUUCAAUUGAUAGAAGAAGAAUUCAAUAAAAUGUUUGGCAUAAAUGAUGAGCAUGAUUGCAAUGUUGUUAGUAUGAAUUCUUUGAAUAUCCAUGAUGCUAAUGAUAUGCAAAGCCAUAAGCUUGGGCAUGCUAUGUUCGAUGAAGAUGAUAUUUUUACUCCUCUAAGAUUUGAUGUGAAAAUUUGUUAUAAUGAUUGCAUGCCUCCUAUUUAUGAUGAAUAUAAUGACGAAAGUGGAUUUGGAGAGGUCAUGACUUUAUUUAUUGAUGAAUUCACCAUUUUGGAUGAGGCUUCAAUUGACUAUGAUAACAAAGUUGAUACCUAUGAUGAUUAUGGUGAUGACAUGUAUGCUAUAAAGAAUAAUGAUAACCAUGAAACUUGUCAUCAUGAUUUUAAUUUUCAAUCACAUGAUAGUUAUUUUGUUGAGUUUGCUCCCACUACUAUUCAUGAGAAUAAAUUUGCUUAUGUGGAGAGUAAUAAAAUUUCUAUGCUUGUGGAUCAUGAAAAGAAUGCUUUAUAUGAUAGUUAUAUUGUUGAAUUCAUUCAUGAUGCUACUGAAAAUUAUUACGAGGGAGGAACUUAUGCUUGUAGGAAUUGCAAUAAUAUCAAGUUUCCUCUCUAUGUGUUGAAAAUAUUGAAGUUAUGCUUGUUUUGCCUUCCUAUGCUAGUUGAUUCUUGCUCCCAUAGAUUGUUUUCUCACAAAAUCCCUAUGCGUAAGAAGUGGGUUAGGCUUAAAUGUGCUUGUCAUGUGAUUCAUGAUGCUCUCUUUGUGCUUCAAUUCUUAUCUUUUAUGUGAGCAUCAUUGAAAUCAUCAUGCCUAGCUAAAAAAGCAUUAAAGAAAAGCGCUUGUUGGCAGACAACCCGACACUUUUACCUACUGUUUUUGUGUGUUCACAUGAUUAGGCUACUGUAGUAAUCUGUUUUAUUUCUUUCAUUUCAAUAAAGUGCCAAGUAAGACCUUUGGGAUGGCCUAUGGUGAUAGUUGAUUUGAUCUUGCUAAAAAACAGAAACUUUUGCGCUCAGGAAAACAAUUCUAAUUUUUAACAGAAGCAUGAUAAAAUGCUGUUUCUUUUUGCAGAAGAUUAAUAGACAUAUUACCCAGGCUUUCGUAUUUUUUCAUAAUUUUUUGAGUAGCAGAAGUAUGGUUGGAGUACAGAUUACUAUAGGUUGUUCUGUUUUUGACAGAUUCUGUUUUCAAUGCAUGGUUUGCUUGUUUUCUAGUUUUAUGGCUUACAUUGCUCAAUAUAAAUUGUGGAAAUGAUAUGCUACAGUAGGCAUUGUGUGAUAACAAUUAUGAAUCUUGUCUUUGACAGUACCAAAAGUGAAAUGGUUUGCUCUUUAUCAUACCAACCUAUCUCACAAAGUUCCGUUAAGUUUUGUGUGAUUGAAGUUUUCAAGUUUUGGGUGAGAUGUCGAUAUGUGGAAAAUAAGGAGUGAAAAGAUCCUAAUCUUGGGGAUGCCCAAGGCACCAAGGUAAUAUUCAAGGAAAAUCCAAGCAAAUAAACUUGGGGAUGCCCCGGAAGGCAUCCCCUCUUUCGUCUGCAACAUUAUCGGUAACCUCACUUGGAGCUAUGUUUUCAUUCGUCACAUGAUAUGUGUUUUGCUUGGAGAGUCAUUUUAUUUUGUUAGGAUUUGCUUGCUGUUAUUUAGAAUAAUGUUUUGCAUCUUUUAUUUCAAUAAAAGUGGCAAUGAUAGCCUUUGCCAUGCUUAUUUUGCAAGUAUACAUGUUGCUGUUUGAAAAGAGAAAGUUUACCGCUGUUGAAAAAAUUCCCUAGAAAAAUUAGAAUGUGAUAAAAUGUUGAAACUUUUUGCAAAAUUAUAUCUGAUAAAUUUUAUACAGUGUGGAAAAUUUUCGUAACGUUUGGAGUUAGGGAAGUAUUGAUACUCUUGCAUUCUUUACAUACUGUACUAUUUUGGCAGAUUGCUGUUAUGUUUGCAUUGUUUGCAUAUGUUUGCUUGUUUAAUGAUUCUAUUUGAGGAUAUGAGUAUUAAAUAUGCAGAGGCAUUUAGUAUGAAAUGUUGAAUAAUAAUUUUAGUGAUUUGCUACAGUAGAGAAUGAUAAGGUUUUUGCAUUGGUUUAUACUAACUUAUCUCACGAGUUCUUGUUGAGUUUUGUGUGGAUGAAGCUUUAGAGAUUUAGGAAAACCGUGAUAUGAGAAGAAUUAAGGAGACACGAAAGCUCAAGCCUGGGGAUGCCCAAGGCAUCCCAAGGUAAUAUUUCAAGAAGUCUCAAGCAUCUAAGCUUGGGGAUGCCCCGGUAGGCAUCCCACCUUUCUUCUUCAACAAUUAUCGGUUAGUACUGGUUGAGCCUAAGUUUUUGCUUCUUCACAUGAUGUGUGAUAUUCUUAGAAUGUCAUUUUGUUUUGUUUUUUCUUGCUGUUUUAAUAAAAUACUUAGAUCUGAAAGUUUUCAAAUAAGAGAGAGUCCUCACAUAUCUACCUAUUUACUUAACUACUCGCUUGAUCCUCACUUAUAUCUUUUUGGAGUAGCUUGUCACAUGCUCAUGAUCUUCACUUAUAUCUGUUUGAGCUUAUCAAAAGCAACAUAUGAAAAUUAGUCUCAAAGUGAUAGAUAUCCGCAAAGGAUAUAAUAAAAACUUUCAUGAAGAUCAUUCGACAAAAUAAACUUGAUUCCUCGUAAUAGUUUUGAGAUAUGAUGAUGCGAUAUGUGAGUCAUGUUGAUGAGUAAUUAUGCUUUAAUAAGAAUAUUGGUGUUAUGGUUUGUGAUUCCCUAUGCAAGCAUGAAAGUCAAUAGUUGUGCAAUAAAAUUACAUCCUACUUGUGGUGCAUUAUUCGGUGUUAAUGAUGCUCAAUGCUCUCUUAUGAGAUUAUUUGUUUCUUGGUUGGUCACUUCUCAAUCUUUUGCUAGCCUUCAUUUUGCACUAAGUAUGAUCAUUACUUGUGCAUCCAAAAUCCUUUAAACUAGUUUUGACACAUGAGUCCACUAUACCUACCUAUAUGCGGUAUGCCGUUCUAAGCAAAUUUGUAUGUGCCAUCUCUAAUUUUCAAAAUAAAUUUCUGUUUUGUGUGCUCGUACCGCUCGCGAGGCGGUGAGGGGUGGCCAAUAUUUUCCAUGCUAGAUGUGUUAUUCUCAUGAUGAGUGUUUAUUCACUUGUCAUGGCACGAGAGUAAGGCAAAGGUAUUAGGGAUGCCUAGUCCGGAAAUGAAAAAUGAAUUUACUUUAUGUUGUCAAAUAAUAAAUUCCUUGGAAAGUGUUGGUAUGGAGGGCACUCGUGGAUACGGUUAGCCAUGGAAAGUGAAAGUAUGGUGGAAAAAGGAAUAAACUUUAUUUUCUGUUUGGGAAUUGCCUAUGAUAUAUCUAUCAUGGAAAGUCUUGGGAGCUCUAAGUCGUUUUCGUUGGUGGGAAAAGUAUGCCUCUCAAAAUGUUUUUAUCUCUCAAUUUUCGCUUUAAGCUUUGGCACCUCUACAAAUCCCUACUUCCCUUUGCGAAGGGCGUUUCUGUUACUUUAUGCAAUUUUUAUUUUUAAUUUGAGUCUCCAUCUUCUCUUAUAAACACUACAAAAAAGACACAUCUGUGACAUUUUGGGCCGAACGAAUUUUUUUCUAUCAUGCUUAUGACACUUCUAUGACGAUAAAUGUGACAAAACCUAGUAUCAUCAUAGAUGUGGUGGGCUCCUACUUCUAUGACAAAAAAUCAUGACAGAAAAUGGGCUUUUCGUCCUGGGCGGGCCGGAGAUGCAGCUGCAUGACAUUCUUUGGGCCGUCCUGAUGGAAAAAACCGUGGUAGAAGCGAGGGUGAGGAAAAUAUCAGAGAGUUCCCGGUUACGGUGAGUGGUCGGGGGCCGAGCGAUGCGCGUUUCUCUCGUACACGUACGCACGUGGGUGCGAGGCGUUGGGCUCUAACUGAACCCGAGCGAGGCGUUCACCUACUGAAACCGAGCGAUUGCAUUGCAAGCUACACAUUACUGAACCCGAGCGAUCGAUCGAUGGCUGUUAACUAAACCUGAUCGAGCGAUUCCUUCGCCACACUGCUGCUAACUGAAGCCGAUCAAUGCUGCCUCUGGAUGAACAGUGAGCGUUGUUGGGGGGGGGUAGAUGAACAGUUCCUGGUGAGGGUUGGAUGAACCGGACCCCGUGGUAGUAGAGGCCGUUGCCGCUGGAUGAACAGGACCCCGAUCGAGCCGGUUGGGAGUGGAUGAACAGGACCCCGUGGAGGGUUGGAUGAACAGGACCCCAUGGAGGGCUGGUUGAAUAGUAGCCGGUGGAGGGCUGGAUGAACAGUAGCCCGUGGAGGGGUGGUUGAACAGGACCCCAUGGAGAGGGCUGGUUGAACAGUAGCCGGUGGAGGAGCAGUGGAGGCUGGAUGAACAGGAGCCCGUGGAUGAACAGGCGCAUGUGGAGGCUGGAGAAGGUCGACGGUGGAUGAAUAGUAGCCCAUGGAGGCUGGAGGAGGUCGACGGUGGAGAUGAACUGUAUCCCAUGGAGUCCCGUUUUGCGGUACGCCACACCCCUCCCGAUGAACAGGACCCCUGUUUCGACCGUAGUGCUCCAACACAAGUCUGUUUCCUCCAUUUCGCGGUACGCCACACCCCUCCCGAUCAAAAGGACCUCGUUUCGACCGUACGAGGUCCAAGAGAAGUCCGUUUCCUCCAUUUUGUGGUACGCCAGACCCCUCCCGAUGAAUUUCGACCGUGUCCGCUCGAACACAAGGCCGUUUCCUCCGUUCUGCGGUACGCCAGACCUCGUUUUCAUCGGCUGUUCCGUCCAAGCCGGUUGGCUCCCGAUGAACACGACAUAUUCCGUUGCCUCCCGAUGAACACGACGCAUUCGGUUGCCUCCCCAUGAACACAACGACGACGCAUUUUCUCCGUUCCGACCCAGCCAUGUACACGAGCCCUGGCCAUAUGUAUGCGUGAGUAGGCGUUCGAGACCCCGCCCGUAUGUACGUACGUGGCCGUAUUUACUUUCUUGCACCCUGGCCCUUAUACGUACGUGUACAUGCUACGUGCGUGCCUUUACUACGACACGUGCGCGCCUAUACUACGACAGUGCACGCCUCUACAUCGACCAGUAUAUAUGUACAUGUUUGCGACCAGAAUGCCAACGCUACAUACGCUUUGACCAGGUGGGUCCUGAUUGCCAGGCGCUUCCUUGCGUGCGAAGAUGUAUAUGGUGGGUCCCAGCAGUCAGGGGGGAAAUGUUUUUUUCGCGAAACACGAUGGCCCGUCCGAUGGGUCCCUGCUGUCAGGUGGAGGAAUCAUUAUUUUGCGCGUAAUAAGAAGGCACUUCCUUGCUGUGGCUGUGGACCGAGCUGUCAGCCUCUCCACGUAUAGUACUCUUUCGAUGGAAGUCGUUCCUUGACCACGUUGACCACGCCGCACCGAGAGCACCAGGGCGGUGGACGACGACGAGACCUAGGAAGGGGACGCCAUGGAGCCGGGGAAGACGCGAUAGUGGAAGCCCACGCAGAGAGGAGUACGAGGGUUCACUGGUUUGGUUGCGGUGUGAGGCUGUCGUCGCAGUAGAAUAACAGGGGGUGUGGGUGAGUAGAGGGAUGGCCUGGCCAGCGGCAGGAGUAGUAGGAGGCGGUGAGGCCUCCGCGGCAGCACAACCAGCCACGGGAGGCAGGAUCAGGCGGCACGACUACCGCUGGUUUGGGCGGCUGGAGCAAGACGACCAGAGGUUGAAGAAGCACUAUGGCCGUUGGAUGGACAUCGUACGGUCACUGGAGCUAAUAUCGUUCAUAUUGACUAAGUUGACAAAGCCCUCCGUCCCCAUCAACUUAGUAGGCCCACAAGUCAGCCUCCCACUACGGUGGGUCCCAACUAGCAGGGGGAGUAUUCAUUUUGUGUGUGUAAUAAGGAGACACUUCCUUGCGUGCGAAGAUAUAGCUGGUGGGUCCGAACUGACACAGGGGGGAACAUUUUUAGUGAAAUACAAAGGCCCUUCCAGUGGGUCCCAGCUGUCAGGUGGAGGAAUCAUUAUUUAUGCACGUAAUAAGGAGGCAUUUCAUUGUGUGGUCCCCUACUGUCAGCCUCUUCCGAUGGUUGUUGUUUGUUGACCAUGUUGACCUCGCCAUGCCGAGAGCACAAACGCGAUGGACGAGGGCGAGGCCCAGGAAGGGAACGACCCAGAGCUGGCGAAGCCACCGCAGCGGAUGCCCAUGCUGAGGGGAGUAUGAGCGCUGACUGGUCGGCUGCGGGGUGAGGCUGAAGUCACCGGAAAAUAACUGGAUGUGCUAGUGGGUAGAGGGAUGGCCUGGCGGCAGCACAACCAACCAUGGGAGGAGGGAGCACGCAGUCCCGCCAACGCUGGUUUGGGCGGCUGGAGCAGGAAGAUCAUAGAAUGAAGAAGCACGGAAGCCGUUGGAUGGACAUCCAACAAUCACUACUGUGUGUUGAUUAAGUUUACAAAGCUUUGCGUAUGUGUCAAUUUUUUUAGGACAACGUCAUCGUCAACCUAGUAGGCCCAGAAGUCAGCCUCCAAAUAUGUGAAAAAUAGCAUACAGCCCAUUAGCCAUUAUUUUCAAUAAUUUACAGCCCAUUUGCUAAAUCUUAAGGAUUUGAAGCCCAUAUUCUUUUUAUUAGCAUUACAGACCAUAUAUUUUGGGCACUCCUAAAAAAAUCAAUGAAAUUUUGCAUAUUUAGGUGGGGUCCAAACUCUUUUAAUCACGAAAUUCCGAGUCACGUUAAAAAUAAUUUAAAAAAAUUAUAUCAAAAUAAAAUUCAAAAAAAAAUCUCUACAAAAAAGAGAAUGAAAUUCAAAAUCUUAACUAGCAAGAUGCUCGUGCAUUGCACGGAACAUGAAGAUGCAUUUGUGUGAGUAGUUUAUCUUGUGGGAGAAAAGACGACAUUUUAAUGUAAUUGCCAGUUGGCUUUGGUUUUUAUAAGAGUAGAGAGUAGAGAAAUCCAGAGAAAAUGAUAUUUUAAUGUGAUUGCCAGUUGGCUUUGGUUUAAAAAUUUAUAGCCCAUUUCUUACAACUUAUAGCCCAUUUUCUGGGGAAGCCCAUUUCUUACUACUUACAUCCCUCCUCGUCUUGAAAGAUUUGCAGCCCAGCAGGGCUGAGAGAAGCAAGUAGGCCUCGGUUUUGGUAUUCUCCAAAAAAAAAGAAUUGGGCUAGCCAUUUUCAGAAAGAAAAAAAGAUAUCAAUUGGGCUCGUCAUGUGCUUAAAUAAAAGCGUAAGCGUGGGCUACACGGGCCACAACCCCCUCACAUCGCGUAGUUGAGCUCUAUCUCUGAAUCUAAAAAACAACUGGGCGAGUUGCUGGGUCCCUGGUGUUAUCCGCUCAUUGUGUAAUUUUCUCGUUUAUUGACUACAUUGACAAUGGCGUGGGACCUAGUUGUCGAACAAUUAGGAGGAAGCAUUUUUUUGGCUUGUAAUAACGAGGCACCUGCUUGCGUAAUGCAAUGACCCUGGUGGGUCCCUACUGUCAGCCUCUCCACGUACAGUCAUCUCCUGAUUCCUCUUGGUUGUUGACCAUGUUGACAAUGCCAGACGGCGGUGGGCACAACGAGCGAACCAAGGCGGAGAACGACGGCGAGGCCUCGGACGGGAACGAACAUCAACCAUGGAAGAUGCGGCAGUGUAGUGGCAGGUGGAGGGGAGUACGAGGGCAACAACAUGCGACUCAAGCUUACAAACGGUACAAAAAGCCCAAGGAUUAAUUGUUCAUCAAAUUUUUAGACAAAACCCAGAUUGAACUUGGCAGUAACAUCUAACCCAACCACUCGUUUUUGCAGUCACAAACAAAUGGAUCGGGCUGAUCCAUAAAAUCAACAUCCCGUGCAAAAAAAGUAUUUCAGGAUCACUACAACUUGUUGUAAAUAGAAGCCGAGCAUGUUUAGAAGCCCAUUUGUCCACCUAAAACUUCUUUUUUGCUGUUCAACGUGUCCAUCCGUGAGAAAUCUCUUGCUGUAAAACGUAAGCGUCAUGGACAACCUCACAUUCAAAAGGAAGAAUGUGACAAAGCUUCUGUUUGCCUGGUUGGAUGCAUUUCUUUCCAUCAUUAUUGUCCUCAAGCGAAUGUCAUGAGAACUGAAAAAAUCCUAGUGCUUAUCACUCCACCGAUUGGUUAUACAUUUUUCUCCAUGUGGUCGCAGUACCUAAGUAGACAUGAAGAUUGAAAACAGCUGAACGGUUAAUUCUAGUACAAUAUAUACGGGCUUUCAAUGUGCAUGAAAUCAUCACCUCUAUAUAUAAAAAUUCUCCAGAGAUCAAAAGCAUCACAACAAGCCAAUAAUUAUGUUUAGAUCAAAACUAGACAUUCCGAUAUAUAAGAUCUUGACAGAAUCCAGCAGCAUUGAUAGGCUAUCCAUGGACGAACUCUUCAUUGAGCAUAUAACAUAAUAUUAGUACCCAAAGUGUACUCCAGGAUGAUAUAAAACUUAUGCGCACAAAUGAAAAAUGCAGCUUAUGAUUACAAAUGUGUAGAUGAUAAUAUACGGUACCUGAAAAGUGAGGAGCCAAACACCAACUUCCUGUGAUCAUUAAACGAAUCAAGAAUUACACCCAAUGUCUCCAGUUUGGGCGCAGAGACAACAGUUAUUUGUGAAGGUUUAUAACAAUUAUCAAGGAGCAACCUUAGUGAAUAGGCAUCUUUGAUGAUGAGCUGCUGUCCUUCAAAACAAAUUCCAAUGCUUUUAUGGUGAGGCGACUUUAUUUGGAGAUAACCGAUAGGGAUUUCUACUCCCAAAAUAACCAGCAAGCGCUCCAGGGCAGGGCAACUGGACUGGAUGAUGUUAAGCAGUGAGGCUUCCAACAGACAAACCACCACAAGUUAAAGUUUUUUUAGCAGUGGAAGUCGAAGCAUUUGUACCAGAUCGUCUGGUAGAUGGCACCAGGCGAAGGUGGCGGUGUGGAGAGAGGAGGAAAACAGCGAGAUGGACAAUGGUGGUGUGGGCACGAAUUCUUGGUGUGUUCACGGUAUGAAACUUUCGUGGUAAUGGUAGAACUCAAACUGCUGGAGUUUUCCGAAUUUAGGGGAUGUCAGCUAAGCGUCCAUCGUGUCGGGUACGGACAGGAGGUAGCAUGUCGGUACGGACACCGAGCUCAUGGGUUUGAGCAGAGUAGCCAGCGACGAGCCUAGUGGCAGUGCGAGUGGGGAAGAAGGAGGGUUGGGGUUUUCUGUAGGAGUGGAAGAAGAGGAGCAGGCAUUUUCUGUACGGGUGAGGAAGAAGGUGAGCGGAGGUUUUCUGGAUGAGUGAGGAAGAUGGGGAGCGGGGGAAUUGGGGGGAGACGGAAGCGGGAGAGCGAACUGCAGUAUAAGUGGAAGCGAGGAGGAAGGAGGGUUUUUCUAGGAUCACCCCCUCUUCAAGAAAUAUGGGCUUCUCCUCGCAAAAAAUAAAAACAAAUGGGCUUUAAGAUGGGUAUGCUUUUGUAUCGGCCCAGUCGGCUACCCGUGUUUCAUACCGGUGGGCCUUGUGCUAGAGGCAACCCAUUAGAGACACUCUCCAGCUCUCCAGCUUAUUGCCCAUUCGAAAUAAAAUAAGAGAUGCCUCCAGCUUAAUUAUGCUCCUCAUCGGUAACAUUUUUCAACUUGAAAAAAAGUUAUAGCUCCUUUUCGGGCCGGCUUGGCAUCCACCAAAUUAGAGGAUGGUGUACUGCAUGCAGACACUCACAUUGGUCAUAGCGCGGAAAAAUGAGGGGCCAAAUAACAUGCCCACAAUAUACAUAGAUUAACAGGGAUUGUGGGGGAUUAAAUCAUGUACAACCCAAAUUCCCCUCCAUUCCUCUCCAAACCCCUUGGGAGGAGGUUGAACUGAACAAGGCCUAAGACUAACCACAGGGGGAGUAACUUAGGUAGUAACAUAGGGCACUCCAAGAAAAUUUUGCUUAUGUGGCAUGUAGUUAAUGAGGAGAGAGAUGUUUAGAGUAACAUAGUAAUAUGUUACAGUAUAAGUUACUCCCCAUUGGGAGUAACUUAGGUAGUAACAUAGCGCAUUUCCAGAUUUUUUUUGCUUAUGUUGCAAGUAGUUAAUGAGAAAUGGUAACAUAAUAUGUUACUAUAACAUAGCGCUUCCCAAGACAAGUUGAGUCUACAAGCCAUUAAAUGAAGCCACAUAUGACACUACUACUAUGUUACUUUGCACUAUGAAGAUAGUAACUUAGACUAGUGCCAUACACAUGACAUUAGUAUAAGUUACUCCCCACUAUGACCAGCCUUAAGCCUCUCCUAGUGCUCCACCAUGUAUAGGUGCUAAGCCUGCCACAUAGGCAUAAAAUAUGAUGUGGGCAAGUUAAUUAAGAAGAGAGAGACUAGUUUGGUGAUCCCAGGAAGAAACGGUGCUAAGCGCGUGUACCUAGGUGGAAAGACAAUUUUGAGUCUAUAGCUAAUUAAAUGAAGCAAGCUUAGCAACAACAAACUAAGCACCUAUGCAUUGGAGACUUGAGUUGCUAAGCCAUUUAAUGCACUUAGCACCUCAUCUAAGCACAUUUGCAUUGGAAGAGGUCUUAUAUAUUCCAUACGGUCUCAUAAUAUGAUACUCAACUCUCUCUUUCUUCAUUUAAUUCUACGCCACCUAAUCAAAUUUGCCUACUACUAGCUGGCAUGCAUGAUACUACUUAUAAUACUCCCAUUACAACCAGCCUAGUAGAAUUAAAAUACCUAAUCUAAAUGGUCGCCGCCCGAUCUCUUUGUCCUCCUCCAACAUCCGACAGAAGAAGAAUUGUGCAAGACACCGGCUGUAUUCGCCGGGUCGCCUCGGCGGUGGCCUUCAUGGGAUACAAUCGACGACGACCUCCCGUGUUCUACAUCUCCUCGAUGAUGGCGGCGGGCGGGGACGUGCUGCCCGUCAUCUCGUCGACAUCCGUGUAGCCGCGUUACCUCGUCGACAUCCAUGGCGGCUUCUUUCUCUGCCUGCAUGUCCCGGCUACGCGCGCGUCGAUGACGGAUGGUGCAGUCGCAGACACUGGAGGCGUUGUACGACGCGGCGGCGUCGAGGGCAGCGACGAUGCUUGUGCCGCCGUGCUCCCCGACAAGCCGGCGUGGAGCAAGUCGGCACUCUUCCUCGAGCUGUAUUGGAGAGGCCAGAUGCGGAACCACAUGCUGGUUAGUGCGGCAACUGCCUCCGACGGGCUAGGCGAGGUAGGUGGAGAAGCAAGCGGCCUCGCUCAUAACUGCUGGGCUCGGUGGGCCAUCCAGACGGCUUUUAUGCCGGAGAACUGCUCUUCCUACUCAUCGGAUGCCGCCGAAGGAGUGGACAAAAUGGUGGAAGGAGGAGCUUGGCCCGUUGGCCAGCGUCCUGCUCCUGAACGGACAUGUGUGGACGGAGUUGGUUUCUCGCAUUCCACGCGGGUUUAAAUGUACUAGGUUUUUGAAUGCGGCGAGGAGGCUGGUACAACUGGGAGUGUAGCGGGCGGCGCCCUGGGCCGGCGCGCCUCUUGAAAUGGCGAACACAGUGAGAGGUCGCGUCCGCCCUGACCCCCUUGACUGUGGACCUUGACGGUGUACGUCACCUUGUGUCCAGAUCUAAGAUGCCACAUUUACCAGAUGAAUGACUCCAAGUUCGACCACCGUGAUGCUAGAGGUGCGAGCCGAGGAACACUGUUGGAGACACCCCCUCAGACUAGCCACAAUGGGUAGUAACAUAUACUAGUAACAUGCUCAUGUUACUAGUCUAUAUGUUACUACCUCUAUAGUGGGGACAUGCAACACUUCAUUUAUUAGGCUAUAGACACAUCUCGCGUUGAUAUGUGUGAUGUUACUCAUACUACUAGUAACUAGCUAUGUUACUCCAUAAUAUUGCUUGCCACAUUAUCUACUUUAUCUAGAUAUGUGUGAUGUUACUACCUAUGUUACUCCCACUUUGAGUAGUCUCAUAAUUUUCCUCAUCAUCAUCUGAGUCCUAGAAGAUCUCACCCACAUCAUCAUUAGGCAUGCAACCACCUUCAUAGACAACGUGCGCAGAAGGAUUAGAGGCGACUGGGGACGCACCACGUCGUGGGCACUCCGUACAUGCUUGUGUGCAUGCAGUGUGCGUGCUUUUCCAUUGGUGCUAGCUCUAAGGCCGAGGCUGCGGUCGUCUUCGUCUCCGGAUAGUUGUUGAGCAACGACGGCAAAGAGGUGCUACAAGAGAUGCGUAGGCGCCGUUGUGUGCGAGCUUCGCCAUAGCACGACGAACUAGACGUCGCCGUAGAUGGCGCACGCCUCCAUGCAGCCGAGUGUGUGCGCAUGCAUGUGUUAUUCACGUGCAUUCUGUGGCCGAGUGUGUGUGCAUGCAUGUGUUGUGUACGUGUGUUGUGUGCUCCAUGUUGUGCGCGUAUGUGCAUGCAUUGCAUCGACAUGAGUUAGUGUGUUCAUGUGUGUACAUGUGUGGAUGCAUGCGUCCUGUACAUGCGUGACUUCUUGCUUGGUUAUCAAUAUAAACUAUACAAUAUCUUCAACUUAGCAUCUUGAUGUAUCGUCUCUAGUGGUUAGCGAAGAGUUCAUGUUCUUUUAUUUUUUAUAGGUGGGUAGGCGGCAAAAAACAGGGGAAAACGUGUAAGGUUCCUUGCAUACGAUCCACCGCGAGGUUCCUUGCUCCUUCUCGGUCGUCGGGAAUCUAUGUUCUUCCACUCUUUUUUUACAUGAGCUUUGUUCAUCCUUUUGCCAACACGCGAGACAUCUAGCAUCAAGGUGCACGUCAUGCAAGAAAAUGGAGAUAAUCAGAUAAGCAGUGCGUAAGUGAGUCAUGCACUUCGAUGGCACCUACUACGCAAUAUUUUUUCUCCUCAAUGGCACAUGAAUAGUGCAUGUACUCAAUGAUGGAGCACAAGAUGGUAGCCAUGACAUGGCCAACCCUUUUUUGGAGAGAGUACGUACUAAAUAACUCUGAUCUGUCCCGUCAACUCACAGAAAGACGAGAAGCUUGCUUACUAUGCCUUCUCCUUUGCCAAUGCGUGCGCGGUGGCUCGUAGCACGAGGAGAAAAAUUUGCUUACAAGCGGUGGACGUGCAACAGUUCAUUUGGUGUCAGAUUGCCAGAAGUACUACUGUAGUACCAUCAUAUUGUCCGACUUCCAGAAGAGGCGAAGAGCCAAGCGCAAGGUCACCUACUAACCUUAGGCUAGCCAUAGUGGGAGUAACAUAAGUAGGAGUACCUCCUCUUUUUUCCUCUAGAAACAACCACACGCGAAUAUUGGAUGGUAGUAGCACAGUAACUGAAUCAAAAAUCGAAACCAACCAAUGAACUAGUACUACUAAUGGUGAGUGUUUGCUAGUAUCAUGUACUCCGUCUAUCCAUGUAUAUAAGGCUUAAUGCGUUUUACGAGACUAACUUUGGCCCUGUUUGGAUCCAUGGGUUAGAGUUAGUUUGAGCUAGUUGGGGCUCAAAUAGCCCUAAAGUAUCCAAACAUGAGGGUUAAAUUGGAGCAAGUUGCCCCAAACCCACCAAAAAAACUAUCCCACCCAAGAGUCGCUAACAUGUGAUGAGUUAACUGACCUCAAUAGACGGCAAAAACGCCAGCCCGCCGCACUUUGAGAGAGACGAGGAGCGAGAAGCGAUACAAGCUGCUGGAUUACUAGAGCUAGGUGUCGCAUGGAGGCCAAGAAAUAUGGUGAUAGGGUAGGUUAGUCAUGUAGUAUGAUGUAACUACAUUGGGCUGCCGUGUUUCGUACUCUUCCGGUCUACUGUGGAGAUUAUUGGUUGAUUUUAUAUCACUGAAUAAUAUAAAAUAUUAUGAGUGCAGACGCUCCACCAUGAGGUUCCUUGCUCCUUCUCGGUCAUCGAGAAUCUAUGUUCUUCCACUCUCUUUUUUGACGUGAGCUUUGUUCUUCCUUUUGCCAACACGCGGGACAUCUAGCGUCAAGGUGCAUGUGUCAUGCAAGAAAAUGGAGAUAAGCAGUGCAUAAGUGAGUCGUGCACUGCGAUGGCACCUAGUGCUACGCAAUAUUUUUCCUCCUCGAUGGCAUGUGAAUAGUGCAUGUACUCAAUGACCGAGCACGGGAUGGUAGCCAUGGACAUGGUCGGCCCUUUUUGGAGAGAGUACUAAAUACAUAUUAAUUUUGAUGUGUCCCAUCAACUCGGAGAACGACGAGAAGCACACGCUGAAUGACAAAGCAUGGGAUGGUAGCCAUGGACAAGGUCAACCCUUUUUGGAGAUUAAUGUACUACUUUUGAUGUGUUUGGGCCCCAUGCUCAUGUAUGCCAACGUGGUACAAGUUAAUUAUUUUGCUAGAGUCAGCUAUCACACCCUUUCGAUGCCACGUCAAUGGUAACCACUAGAAAUAAGUUAGACUUGUUCGGUUCAACCGCCUCCCUAGGUGUUUGGAGAGGAAUUGGCCAGCGCAAGGCAGUUCUAUAGGUGGGCAGGCGGCUUAAGACGAGGGAGGGAAAAUUCUACAUUCGCAGGGGAUGUGGAAUUGUCUAUUGGGCGGCAACAUGUGGUCAUCCGAUACACCAUAAAGGAUACGAAGAGGCAUCCUAUAUCAGCAAGGACCAACUUCCCUACCGAUAGCUCAUCUAACAAAACUCUCAAGUUAACUGUGCUGAGGCUGGUGUAGUCAUGAGAUGGGUGACCGGAUGGGAAGUGGACUCGAUAUUAGCUAGACGGAUGGGUCACUGCAAGGUCUCUGUUUUGUAAUUUUUGACAUUUUUUUUGAACACAUGUUAAUCGAUGUUUUUUUUGAACAUAACGCAUCCCAAGACAUAUAUGCUUAUGUGGCAUGGAGUUAAUGAGGAGAGAGGUGUUUGUAGUAACAUAAUAUGUUACCGUAACAUAACGCACACCAAUGCAAAAUAAGUCUACAACAUAAUAAAUGAAGGCUUGCAUGACACUACAUUUAUGUUACUACCCACUAUGAUGAUAACAUGCAUAUGUUACUAGUCUAAAUUACUGCCCACUAUGACUAGCCUUAGCAUGGUUAAUAAUAUAGUCAACUGAUGGCUACAAGGAACCGCCAUGUCAUCUACAACCAUCAUCUAUAUGCACUCAUGCAAUAGUGUGGGUUAUAAGGUUGGCUAUUAGUACAUUAGUACUUUUUUCCAUCUUCUCUCUAUCUCUUUCUUCACAUUUAUUGCAUUUAUUACAUUAUUACUUUCUUCACAUUUAUCUCAUGCAAGAGCCUAGCUAUAUGCGGAUUCCUAGACAAAUAGAAUAAAUGUGAAGAAAGAGAAAGAGAGAAGGUUGAAAAAGGUAGUAAUGUUAUAGCCAACCUUGUAGCCCACACUACUAUAUGAGUGACUAUAAAUGAUGGCUAUACAUGACAUGGUAGUUUCUUAUAGCCAUCAGCUGGCUAUACUAUUAACCAUGCUCUUAGUAGUUGACCUUGCGCUUGGCUCUUCACCUCUUUUGGAAGUCGAAUGAGAGCAUGGUUAAUAGUAGAGCCAGCUAAUGGCUAUAUGACAUUGCCAUAUCAUCUACAGUCAACCUUGUAGCCUUCAAGUAUAAUAGUAAGAUACAAAGAUGUGCUACUUCAUUAAUACAUGGCCCACCUCUCACUCUCACAUAGUGCCUAGGAGCAUGUGUUGCAGCUAGCUCUUAUUCUGUAGCUGGCUCAUCUUCUCUCUCCUCUUCUCUUCCCUCCAUGUCAGCAGAAAAACAAUAUUUUAAUCCUUACAGCCUACUUACAUAAGCUUAUUAUACUUGCUCUGAACUGCUGGCAAUCUGAGACCAAAUGAACUGCUGCACGUCCACUGUUUGUAGGCAACAGUUCCUCCUCGUGCUACGAGCCACCAUGCACGUGUUGGCGAGGGAGAAGGCGUAGUAAGAAAGCUUCUCGUCGUUCUGUGAGUUGCCGCAUGUUGGCAAAAGGAUGAACAAAGCUCAUGUAAAAAAGAGUGGAAGAACAUAGAUUCCCGACGAUCGAGAAGGAGCAAGGAACCUCGUGGUGGAGUGUCUGACUCAUAAUAUUUUAUAUUAUUCAGCGAUAUAAAAUCAACCAAUCAUCUCCACAGUAGACCGGAAGAGUACAAAACAUGGCAGCCCAGUGUAGUUACAUCAUACUGCAUGGCUAACCCACGCUAUCACCAUAUUUCUUGGCCUCCGUCCGACACCUAGCUCUAGUAAUUCGGCAGCCCAUAUCACUUCUCGCUCCUCGUCUCUCUCAAAGUGCGGCCGGCUGGCGUUAUUGCCGUCUAUUGAGGUCGGUUAACUCAUCACAUGUUAGCGACAUGCCAAGAGCAUUCUAAAAAAAUUAGUGUACUCUAUUGUUAUGCCAAGAAGAGGAAGCGCUUUGACCGAUGGACCAAACGAGACAGGCGUGCCAUGCCAUGAGUGGGUCCAGUUUCCCAUUUUGAACUUGUUUGGUGUAGUAGUAACACUUGGUUUUGACUAUUGAUAAGAUUUUAUAUAGGGCCUAAUGUAUUCUUCCAGGAUGUCAUUGACUAUUGAUAAGAUUUUAUAUAAUUUGAAAAUUAUAUCAUUUGAAGAUCCUUUCACGUCCCGUUUAAAAAAAUAUCCUUUCACAUACGAAUUUGACUGUAUGCUUUGAGCAACUUGCAUGUCCUAUACUGCUCCUGUUUGGAUACUCAACUUAGCUAGAGGUUAGACUAACUCAUCAAUAACCCUGAACUAAUUGUAGCCAAAGAGGUUUUUGGGUGACAGGGUUAGAUUGACAAUAAAUGCACUUAAUGGAGAGAGAAAAGUGAUUUUCCAGUGGGCCCAAUGAGAACUAUCUCCAAUUAGCACCUCUUGGGUGGGAUAGUUUUUUUUGUGGGAUCCAUGCAACUUGCUCCAAUUUAACCCUCAUGCUUGGAUACUUUAGGGCUAUUUGAGCCCCAACUAACUCAAACUAACUCUAACCCAUGGAUCCAAACAGGGCCAAAGUUAGUCUCAUAAAACACAUUAAGCCCUAUAUACAUGGACAGACGGAGUACAUGAUACUAGCAAACGCUCACCAUUAGUAGUACUAGUUCAUUGGUUGGUUUCAAUUUUUGAUUCAGUUACUGUGCUGCUACCGUCCAAUAUUCGCGUGUGGUUGUUUCUAGAGGAAAAAGGAGGUACUAGUACUUACUGUGGGAAAGGUGAAGUGAUGGUUGCUCCGUCCGAGCAACUUAUUACUCUGGGAAUAUGGGAGUACUAGCGGAUUCAACGAACAGAGAAAUGAUGGUUGCUUCGUCCGAGCAACUUACUAUGGCGAAGGUGGGGCUCUAUGAUAUGACUGCUCACUAGUCAUUACUACUGCGGCACAACGACCGGGGUGAAUCUUUCCCUGCAGUUGUGCACUCAAUAUUGCUACAUGGUAGGUGGAGCCGAUGAAGGAUGUCCCACAUGUCAGUGAAACAAAGUUGAAUUGUUUCUGGCAUUGCUAUCAAUCCUUCAGGAUUUGUUUAUAUGUACGCAUAAUUUUAAUAAAAUUGUACUGUGAUGCUAUGAAGGUUUCAACUUUGGUUCCCGCAGGAAAAAAGGUUUCAACUUAGGAUUCAUGUGUCCUCUUGCCUCAAGAUUAUCUCGUUACAACAUUCCAUCAAAUACAAAUGAAACUACCAUGGCUGCUAAUGCAUCUCAAUGGUUGACAGAUUAGUGCCAAUAUUCACAUCACAACCGAAGACAAAGUUGUGAGAAGGUGUACAAAUAAAGAAAAAUAUAUAAUUGAUCGAUGUUGUUCAUAGGCAUGGCUCCAUUUCCUGGGCACAAUGUUCAUUGGUUGGCAGCUAGUUUCACCCAGCUCUGUAGCCAAAAAAGAGGUGUAUUGAGGACACCACAAUCCGAUCAUUUUGUGUAGCUCCACUAAAAUUGAGCUGACCAUCCCGGUUUGCAAAGAUAUCCGGUCAGUGUGAUCACAAUAAUAGUGAAACUAGUUGAUGAAACAUAACACACACAAAUAGAAGCCGAUCACCUCCGCAAUCUCUCUUUAGGAAUAACUACUUGUUGGAGAAGAUUAGGCACGGAGUUGGAUGAGGAGGAUAGCAAAAUCAAUCUCCCUUUCCGCAGUCCCACAAAAAUGUAAAAAUGUUGCCCGUGCGACAUUUUGGCGGAACUGCACAAAACACUCUUAAGAAAAAAGUGAUUUGUGUAGUUUGCCAAAAGGUCGCAAUAUCAACGAGGUGAAAUGGAUAGCCCUGUUUACAAAAGGAGGUAGAAAGGAAACAAUUACUUCCCAAUAACAUGAGUUGAAGACACACACGCCGACAAAAAAAGAAGCAUAUUCCAUGUAAUAAGGGAAAGAUAGAAGCAUGGUGGUUUAUCAAAAAUGGUUUGAGGACGAGAUUGCAAGAUGGAAAGUACGCCGACCGAGAUACGUUUAAGCAAACAACUAAAGAAGAUCCACAUGCAGCAAUGUGGGAAGAUGGGCAGUGGAGCAAGGCCGAAGGAAGCCGUACCUGAGGGUAGUCGGGAUGUUACUAGGAGGACGCCGACGGCCGGGAUCUGCCCAUAUUGUGGCAGCUAGCAAGUGGCGAAGGCCCUACCACGCCGGAGCUUGGUUAGAGAGAAUGACGGGUACCGCGGAUCGGGACAUGCUGCCUCAACGCCGUCGAAUGGAGAAACAAUGCACAUCCUCCCUUUUCGCUGGCGGACGGGCUGCGGCCGGAUCACUGAGCAACGAUGUGUGUGAGAGAGAGGCCACCGCCGCCUUGUGUGAGAUGGUGUGAUGAGAGACAAACCCCGACAGGCAGGCUUCAUUGUAUAUAGUGGAGCGGAUUUUUCCAUUUCCCCCACGACAAUCAUUUUAUAUUCUGUACGUGCCAUUGAGGAAUAUAUAACUUUAUUUAAUACUAACGCGUCAAGUCGAACUUUGUUCCAUCUAGCAUGGUACCUGACCCUCCUUCGAGUAAACAACCGCUACACGCGUCAAAUUAUCACGUGUGCUGCCUUUUCGUACAGAAACGAACUCCACCGUGUACCCAUGCAGGUGUGGCCGGGAACGAGACGUGAGCACGUGUGUCCUGGGUGCACCUCUUCUUUAGGUGCAGGUACGUACGUGGGUGGGUGGGAGAGAGAUGGUUUGUGCAAAACAGAGGCAAUGUGUUGAUGAUAUCUCAAACAAAAAAACGUAACAUAUGCAAUGUGUGUGAAACAGAGUCAUGGAUAUAUCAUAUAUAGAGGGAGCGAUCCACGAGAAGAGAGUGGGGGGAUCAUCGGUGUGAGAUAUUGAUAGAAUCGAAAACAAGGAUGAAGUGUGUGGCUGCGCGAUCGAUAAAGAGUUCCAUCAAAUUUGUGUUUGCCCGCGUCAAAGAUACAGGGUGGCUGGCCUACUGGAAUUUGAGAGGGCAGAGGUGCAGUUUUUCUCUAUGGCAUGGAUACCUACCUACAACGUUCGACUAUCGAUGUGUGUGUGUGGGGGGGGGGGCAGAGACCUAACUAUAGAGAGGUAGAUCGACUAGUAUAUGCGUGGAGAAGGAGAGAGACCUAGCUAUGUAUUGAGGGAGAUCGAUCGGCAUCCAUGCAUAUGUGUAGUAGAGGAAUAAGGUUGGGAGAAAGACAAAGGUAGAGUGUUGGAGGGUUGGUGGUGGAGUGGCGUCUCACAAAUGGAGGGAGAGGCCUGCUAGACAAACAAAGGGUACGAGUGCAAUAUCAAUAAGAGAGGGCUGGGGAUGUUUGUCUGUCUAUGGACGUGCGUGUGAGAGACGGGUCGGGAGGUAUGCAAGGAUGAUGAGGGGAGACGAUAUGGUUGUGGUAAGCAUACAUAACUACAUAGGAAGAUCAAUCGUCGUGUGUCCGAGAAAGGGAGAGACAUAACUAGUGAGGUAAGUCUAUCGGUGCGUGGGGAAAACGAAUUAUAGUCAACCUGGCUAUAUGUAGGGAGAUCGGUACGUAUACAUGCAUGCAUGUGUUAGAAGCAAAUAAGGUCCGGAGAGACAGACAGGGGGAGAUGGGUGCGGCUGGGAGGUGGUGCGACAGGCCUACCAUGUCGAGGGGGAGAAGUGUGCGAGUAUGAGAUCGAUGAAAAGAGGGGUGGGACUGUGCACCUACGUGGAACCGUAUUGGACAUAGGGGGGCAUGGACGGUGAGAAGAGAAGAGGGGGAAGUAUGUGUUUGUGGUAGGCACACUUGGCUAGAGAGGUAUAUCGACCGGUGUGUGCCGGAAAGGAGCCGGGGGGCCUACACACACCGCGGGUGAACGACCUAAAGAGAAAUAAGGAACAUGCACGAUGGAGGGGACGCUCAUGGAGGGUGAGAGGGGGCGGGUGUGUGCAUGCACGAUAGAAAGUUAGCGCUAGCUAGCUACAAAGAGAAGAGGAUCGUGAAGGUGUAAAAGACGAGCAGAGAUCAUAAUUCAUUAUGAAAAAGUGGAUACAGAUACUUGAAGAAGAUAUCAUAAUGUAGAACAUUGAUUAUAAUUUGGGCUAAUGUGUGGCUUUUGCAGCUCAGGGCUAAAUACUCAUCAUAAUGUAGGGGGCAGGGCACUAUACUUUGUGUGAUAAACACGGUGUAUGUAUGGAACAUGGUUUAGAUUAUGAAUAUAUAGUUAGUACAUCAAAUGUACUAUUAUUUGGAAUCAACAUCAAGUGUAUUAAAAAAAUUGAAUUCGAGUUCAUAUAGUACACAUAGUUCAUAUCUAUCUCUAUAGUAAUCAUGUGGUGUGUUGUUAAGGUAAUACAUGAAUGGUGGUUGAAGUCGGCAACAAUCAUGAUUAUAGAUUCUUAUUGAAAUAGAGAAACAAAUUCAAAUUUAGUUCGAAUUGCAGAGGUAGUAUAGACAUUUGGAAUGCACUAAAAUGUUGGUAUGAGUAGGUUACAUGCAUUAUACAGCCACCAAAAAAUUUAAUUGGACAUAACAUGUUGGUAUGAGUAGCUUUGAAUAGCAUUUGUAUAGUAAAACGGGACAAGACUCUCUUUGUGUGGUGUGAAUAGUUUUAUUUUUUUCAUUUUUUUCGUUGAGGGAAGUGUGAAUUGAUUUGGUAUGUACAAGUACAAUAUUACACGUUAGGCUUGUCCCUAAAAUUCAGCCCGCGCCUUGUUAUAUCCCGAAAAUUCAUAUAUUGUGCUCCCAAAACUGGCGCCUUCACAACCCGCGCCUUGCUUUCCCGAAAUUACAACGCGCACGAAAACUCCCUCCAGCUGCCAAAUACCGACACGCAAAAUCCCCCUUAUAACCCUGAGCCAAAAGGGCCGCUAGUUCAAAUCGGUGGGGGUACUUUUGUAACACACCCUACAUUUUGGACAAGUGCGUCCCUAAGUCAUGGUUCCCCCUCCCAUCGCCUCCUUUUCGCAAUUUGAAAUCCUAUGCCGCCAUAACCUCUCUGCUCCAGCCGCGAAACCCCACCCUCCUCCAUCUGCCACCUCACCGCUGCCUAGCCGGAGCCUCUUCCCUGACGACGUCGUCCACCGCAACAGCUCGACGUCCCUCAUCCACCUCCCCGGAUGAGGAUCCGUCAUCCAUCUCGUUGUCCCGCCGGUUCAGCCGCCCCGUCCUCCACCUCCAAGGAGCUGCUCCGACGAUCGCCUCGUCUAUCACGGCUGCUCCAACCCCAUAGCGCCGCCUUAACCUGCUCCACCGGAACCGCAGCAUCCUCGCCGACUCCUCGGACGAAGUCGAGGCCUACUCGGCGCCACUAAUGAGGUUGUACACUCAUCGCAUCGCACCUUCUCCUUAACUCGACCUCUCGGUACCGACUGUGCUCCAUCCCGCACCCCCAUGGAGUGGCUACCUCGAAGCUGACACCGUGGGCAACAUCUCCACGGCGGCUCUCCCCUAGUGCGAGGCCCCUUCAGCGGCGGUGUCCAUACCAGCCAGAUCUUCUGCUGCUACUUCGGCUCUCGCUCGCUCGCUCGCACUGCUGCUGCUCCGGCUCUUGCUCGCUCGCGCUGCUGCUGCUCUCCCCCUCGCUCGUGCUGCUAUUCUGCUCCAAUUUAGCUACACUUCAGUCAACUGUAUCGACUUCUGGGUUAGUUGAUUUUCAGGGGGGGCUCGCAGGAGUUAAGGAAGAACCACCCACAGCGGGGAGGGGGGCUCGCCGGUGAGGUACCCCACUAUCUAUCUCAGGGUUCAUGGUGGGGGCGGUGGUCGUUGACAGUGGGGGGCGGUGGCGUGGGUAUCGCCGGAGAAAAAUCUNNNNNNNNNNNNNNNNNNNNNNNNNNNNNNNNNNNNNNNNNNNNNNNNNNNNNNNNNNNNNNNNNNNNNNNNNNNNNNNNNNNNNNNNNNNNNNNNNNNNNNNNNNNNNNNNNNNNNNNNNNNNNNNNNNNNNNNNNNNNNNNNNNNNNNNNNNNNNNNNNNNNNNNNNNNNNNNNNNNNNNNNNNNNNNNNNNNNNNNNNNNNNNNNNNNNNNNNNNNNNNNNNNNNNNNNNNNNNNNNNNNNNNNNNNNNNNNNNNNNNNNNNNNNNNNNNNNNNNNNNNNNNNNNNNNNNNNNNNNNNNNNNNNNNNNNNNNNNNNNNNNNNNNNNNNNNNNNNNNNNNNNNNNNNNNNNNNNNNNNNNNNNNNNNNNNNNNNNNNNNNNNNNNNNNNNNNNNNNNNNNNNNNNNNNNNNNNNNNNNNNNNGACGAUGGACCGGCGGUGGGGAGUUGUUUCGGGGCGGUAGGGGGGCGGCCAACCGACAGUGGGGAGUUGUUUCAGGGUGGCGAGGCGGCGGCGGACUGGCAGUGGGGAGUUGUUUCAGGGCGGCGAGGCGGUGCAGGGGCAGGUGGUGGCUGGCGGCUGCUACGUCUUGAGCUUGCGUUGGUUUUCCCCGAAGAGGAAGGGAUGAUGCAGCAGAGUAGCGUAAGUAUUUCCCUCAGUUUUUGAGAACCAAGGUAUCAAUCCAGUAGGAGGCCAUCCUCAAGUCCCUCGUACCUGCACAAAACGAUAGCUACUCGCAACCAACUCGAUUAGGGGUUGUCAAUCCCUUCACGGUCACUUACGAGAGUGAGAUCUGAUAGAUAUAAUAUUUUUGGUAUUUUUGAUAUAAAGAUGCAAAGUAAAAAGUAAAGGCAAAGUAAAAAAUCAAAGCAAGAUUAAAGUGAUGGAGAUUGAUAUGAUGAGAAUAGACCCGGGGGCCAUAGGUUUCACUAGUGGCUUCUCUCAAGAGCAUAAGUAUUCUACGGUGGGUGAACAAAUUACUGUUGAGCAAUUGACAGAAUUGAGCAUAGUUAUGAGAAUAUCUAGGCAUGAUCAUGUAUAUAGGCAUCACGUCCGUGACAAGUAGACCGAAAUGAUUCUGCAUCAACUACUAUUACUCCACUCAUUGACCGCUAUCCAGCAUGCAUCUAGAGUAUUAAGUUAAAAACAGAGUAACGCCUUAAGCAAGAUGACAUGAUGUAGAGAGAUAAAUUCAUGCAAUAUGAAAUAAACCCCAUCUUGUUAUCCUCGAUGGCAACGAUGCAAUACGUGCCUUGCUGCCCCUUCUGUCACCGGGAAAGGACACCGCAAGAUCGAACCCAAAGCUAAACACUUCUCCCAUGUCAAGAACUACCAAUCUAGUUGGCCAAACCAAACGGAUAAUUCGAAGAGACUUGCAAAGAUAACCAAUCAUACAUAAAAGAAUUCAGAGAAUAUUCAAAUAUUAUUCAUAGAUAGACUUGAUCAUAAACCCACAAUUCAUCGAUCUCAACAAACACACUGCAAAAAGAAGAUCACAUCGAAUAGAUCUCCACGAGAAAGGGGGAGAACUUUGUAUUGAGAUUCAAAGAGAGAGAAGAAGCCAUCUAGCUACUAACUAUGGACCCGAAAGUCUGAGGUAAACUACUCACACUUCAUCGGAGGGGCUAGGAUGAUGUAGAAGCCCUCCGUGAUGACGGCCCUCUUCCCGCGGAGCUACGGAACAGGCCCCAAGAUGGGAUCUCGUGGAUACAGAAAGUUGCGGCGGUGGAAUUAGGUUUUUGGCUCCUGUUCUGAUCGUUUGGGGGUACGUAGGUAUAUAUAGGAGGAAGGAGUACGUCAGUGGAGCACCGAGGGGCCAACGAGGCAGGGGGCACGCCCUAGGGGGGGCGCCCCCCACCCUCGUGACCUCCUCUUUGACUCCCUGGAGUAGGGUCCAAGUCUCUUGGAUCACGUUUGGUGAGAAAAUCACGUUCCCGAAGAUUUUAUUCCGUUUGGACUCCGUUUGAUAUUCUGUUUCUCCGAAACACUGAAAUAGGCAAAAAAUAGCAAUUCUGGGCUGGGCCUCCGGUUAAUAGGUUAGUCCCAAAAAUAAUAUAAAAGUGGAAAAUAAAGCCCAAUAUAGUCCAAAACAGUAGAUAAUAUAGCAUGGAGCAAUCAAAAAUUAUAGAUACGUUGGAGACGUAUCAAGCAUCUCCAAGCUUAAUUCCUACUCGUCCUCGAGUAGGUAAAUGAUAAAGAUAGAAUUUUUGAUGCGGAGUGCUACUUGGCAUAAUUUCACUGCAAAUCUUCUUAAUUGUGGUAUGAGUAUUCAGAUUAGAAAGAUUCAAGACAAAAGUUUAUAUUGACAUAAAAAUAAUAAUACUUCAAGCAUACUAAGAAAGCAAUUAUGUCUUCUCAAAAUAACAUGGCCAAAGAAAUUUAUCCCUACAAAAUCAUAUAGUCUGGCUAUGCUCCAUCUUCACCACACGAAGUAUUUAAAGCAUGCACAACCCCGAUGACAAGCCAAGCAAUUGUUUCAUACUCUAAAUUUUUCAAAACUUUUUCAAUCUUCACGCAAUACAUGAGCAUGAGCCAUGGAUAUAACACUAUAGGUGGAAUAGAAUGGUGGUUGUGGAUAAGACAAAAAGGAGGGGAAUAUAGUAUCACAUCAACUAGGCGUAUCAACGGGCUAUGGAGAUGCUCAUCAAUAGAUAUCAAUGUGAGUGAGUAGGGAUUGCCAUGCAAUGGAUGCACUAGAGGUAUAAACGUAUGAAAGCUCAACAAAAUAAACUAGUGGGUGUGCAUCGAACUUGCUUGCUCAUGAAGACCUAGGGCAAUCUGAGGAAGCCCAUCAUUGGAAUAUACAAGCCAAGUUCUAUAAUGUAAAAUUCCCACUAGUAUAUGAAAGUGACAACAUAUGAGACUCUCUAUAUGAAGAACAUGGUGCUACUUUGAAGCACAAUAUAUGAGACUCGCUAUAUCAUGGUGCUACUUUAAAGCACAAGUGUGGAAAAAGAUAGUAGCAUUGCCCUUUUUUAUUUAUUUUCUUUUUUUGGGCCCUCUUUUUUUCUUUGGCCUCCCCCUUUUUUGGGACAAUGCUCUAUUGAAUGAUGAUCAUCACACUUCUAUUUAUUUACAACUCAAUGAUUACAACUCGAUACUAAAACAAAGUAUGACUCUAUAUGGAUGCCUCCGGCGGUGUACCGGGAUAUGCAAUGAAUCAAGAGUGACAAGUAUGAAAAAAUUAUGAAUGGUGGCUUUGCCACAAAUACUAUGUCAACUACAUGAUCAUGCUAAGCAAUAUGACAAUGAUGAAUGUGUCAUGAUGAACUAGAUGGUGGAAAGUUGCAUGGCAAUAUAUCUCGGAAUGGCUAUGGAAAUGCCAUAAUAGGUAGGUAUGGUGGAUGUUUUGAGGAAGGUAUAUGGUAGGUGUAUGAUACCGGCGAAAGGUGCACGGUAUUAGAGAGGCUAGCAAAGGUAGAAGGGUGAGAGUGCGUAUGAUCCAUGGACUCAACAUUAGUCAUAAAGAACUCAUAUAAUUAUUGCAAAAAUCUAGAAGUUAUCAAAGCAAAGUACUAUGCGCAUGCUCCUAGGGGGAUAGAUUGGUAGGAAAAGACCAUAGCUCGUCCCCGACCGCUACUCAUAAGCAAGACAAUCAAUAAAUAAAUCAUGCUCCGACUUCAUCACAUAACGGUUCACCAUACAUGCAUGCUACGGGAAUCACAAACUUCAACACUAGUAUUCUUUAAAUUCACAACUACUCAACUAGCAUGACUUUAAUAUUAUCACCUCCAUAUCUCAAAACAAUUAUCAUGCUUCAAUCUUUUCUUAGUAUUCAACACACUCAAAAGAAAGUUUCACAAAUCUUGAAUACCAAGCAUAUUAUUAUUAAGCAAAUUACCAUGAUAUUAAGACUCUCAAAAUAAUUUAAGUGAAGCAUGAGAGAUCAAUAGUUUCUUUAAAAUAAGUCCACCACCGUGCUCUAAAAGAUCUAAGUGAAGCACAUAGAGCAAAAUUAUAACGCUCAAAAGAUAUAAAUGAAGCAUAUAGAGCAAAACUACUUAGCUCAAAAGAUAUAAGUGAAGCACAUAGAGUACUUUAUCAAAUUUUAAUUCAUGGAUGGAUCUCUCAAAAGGUGUGUACAGCAAGGAUGAUUGUGGCAUACUAAGACACAAAUACACAAAUAAUACAAGACGCUCCAAGCAAAACACAUAUCAUGUUGGUGAAUAAAAAUAUAGCUCCAAGUAAAUUACCGAUGGAAGUGGACGAAAGAGGGGAUGCCUUCCGGGGCAUCCCCAAGCUUUGACUUUUUGGUGUCCUUGGAUUAUCUUGGGGGUUCCAUGGGCAUCCCCAAUCUUAGGCUCUUGCCACUCCUUGUUCCAUAAUCCAUCAAAUCCUUACCCAAAACUUGAAAACUUCACAACACAAAACUCAAAAUAGAAAACUCGUGAGCUCCGUUAGCGAAAGAAAACAAAAGACCACUUCAAGGUACUGUAAUGAACUCAUUCUUUAUUUAUAUUGGUGUUAAACCUACUUUAUUCCAACUUCUCUAUGGUUUAUAAACUAUUUUACUAGCCAUAGAUUCAUCAAAAUAAGCAAACAACACACGAAAAACAGAAUCUGUCAAAAACAGAACAGUCUGUAGUAAUCUGUAGCUAGCGCAAGAUCUGGAACCCCAAAAAUUCUAAAAUAAAUUUCUGGACGUGAGGAAUUUAUCUAUUAAUCAUCUGAAAAAAUAAUUAACUAAAUAUCACUCUUCAAAUAAAAAUUACAGCAGUUCUCGUGAGCGCUAAAGUUUCUGUUUUUUACCGCAAGUUCAACAAGACUUUCCCCAAGUCUUCCCAACGGUUCUACUUGGCACAAACACUAAUUAAACACAAAAAACACAACCAAAACAGAGGCUAGAUAAUUUAUUUAUUACUAAACAGGAGCAAAAAUAAAGGAAUAAAAAUAAAAUUGGGUUGCCUCCCAACAAGCGCUAUCGUUUAACGCCCCUAGCUAGGCAUAAAAGCGAGGAUAGAUCUAGGUAUUGCCAUAGUAGUAAGAUAGAUUAUUAAACUCAUUUCAUAUUCUCUACGUUCAGCAGCAAGUUUUCUUUGAGGCAAGCAAAAGUAAUCAAAAGGGCUAAAUUUAACGGGACAAAAGUCCCCAAGAUCAACCUUGGGAGGUAUAGGUUCCUCCUUUGGUCCUUCAUAAUGCACAACCAAUUCAUCAUUAUAAGCAUUCUUUUGACAGAACUUUGUGAGCCUAUAUUCAAGAGAAUAUCCUAGUUCAUUAUUUCGAAUAGCCAAAUCAUCAUUAAGUUCAGAAAUUAUGUCAACUAAAACAUUGGUAGGAACCCUUUUUCUAAGAUUUUCAUUGAAAACAACAUAGUCUAGAGAUUGAAAACACAUUAUUUCUUCUUGAUCAAAGAGGAUAGUCUCUAUGGGAGGACGGCAAGCGUCCACCCUAUAAUGCGCACAGAUUUCUUUGGCCUCUUUUAUUAUGAAUCUAAACUCAUGAGCCAAAAAGAUAGUAGCGGCACGCUUAACAGAAGAAUGCUCAAUAUUAGAAAAUUCCAGAAAAAUCCUUUGUAUGGAAGGAUGCAUGUGCAUGAAUUGUCUUUCAAGUUCAACUACAAGCAUGGCAAUAGCGUCCGCAAGACUACUAGUUCUGUGAAGGAUAGAACUACCCAUAGAAGGUAAAGCACCGGCACAAGUAAAGAAAUCUUGAAUAACUCCUUUUCCAAUAAUAUUACCACUACCAACACGGAAUUUUUCUGUAUGAAAGAUGGUAGGUUCUUUAGCGGGAGCAUCAGAAUUUUUCAUGAUAUUAUUAUUGUCCAUAUCGACAAUAAUUUCCCCAAUUUCAGACAUAGAGGCAGAGGGUAAAGGACUAGACAUAAUGACAAGCAAACAAACUAACACACGAGCAAACAAAGGCAAACGGGUAAAAGAGGCAAAUAGAGAGGGAGGAUAGAGAGAGAGAGAGGGCGAAUAAAACGGCAAGGGUGAAGUGGGGGAGAGGAAAACGAGAGGCAAAUGGCAAAUAAUGUAAUGCGAGAGAUAGGGAUUGCGAUGGGUACUUGGUAUGUUGACUUUUUGCGUAGACUCCCCGGCAACGGCACCAGAAAUCCUUCUUGCUACGUCUUGAGCUUGCGUUGGUUUUCCCUGAAGAGGAAGGGAUGAUGCAGCAGAGUAGCGUAAGUAUUUCCCUCAAUUUUUGAUAACCAAGGUAUCAAUCCAGUAGGAGACCACACUCAAGUCCCUCAUACCUGCACAAAACGGUAGCUACUCGCAACCAACGCGAUUAGGGGUUGUCAAUCCCUUCACGGUCACUUAUGAGAGUGAGAUCUGAUAGAUAUAAUUUUUUUUUGGUAUUUUUGAUAUAAAGAUGCAAAGUAAAAAGUAAAGGAAAAGUAAAAAAAGCAAAGCAAGAUUAAAGUGAUGGAGAUUGAUACGAUGAGAAUAGAUGCGGGGGCCAUAGGUUUCACUAGUGGCUUCUCUCAAGAGCAUAAGUAUUCUACGGUGGGUGAACAAAUUACUGUUGAGCAAUUGACAGAAUUGAGUAGAGUUAUGAGAAUAUCUAGGCAUGAUCAUGUAUAUAGGCAUCACGUCCAUGACAAGUAGACCAAAAUGAUUCUGCAUCUACUACUAUUACUCCACUCAUCGACCGCUACCCAACAUGCAUCUAGAGUAUUAAGUUAAAAACAGAGUAACACCUUAAGCAAGAUGACAUGAUGUAGAGAGAUAAAUUCAUGCAAUAUGAAAUAAACCCCAUCUUGUUAUCCUCGAUGGCAACGAUGCAAUACGUGCCUUGCUGCCCCUUCUGUCACUGGGAAAGGACACCGCAAGAUCAAACCCAAAGCUAAACACUUCUCCCAUGGCAAGAACUACCAAUCUAGUUGGCCAAACCAAACGGAUAAUUCGGAGAUACUUGAAAAGAUAACCAAUCAUACAUAAAAGAAUCCAGAGAAGAUUCAAAUAUUAUUCAUAGAUAGACUUGAUCAUAAAACCCACAAUUCAUCGAUCUCAACAAACACACCGCAAAAAGAAGAUCACAUCAAAUAGAUCUCCACGAGAAAGGGGGAGAACUUUGUAUUGAGAUUCAAAGAGAGAGAAUAAGCCAUCUAGCUACUAACUAUGAACCUGAAGGUCUGAGGUAAACUACUCACACUUCAUCGGAGGGGCUAGGAUGAUGUAGAAGCCCUCCGUGAUGACGGCCCUCUUCCGGUGGAACUCCGAAGCAGGCCCCAAGGUGGGAUCUCGUGGAUACAGAAAGUUGCGGCGGUGGAAUUAGGUUUUUGGCUCCUGUUCUGAUCGUUUGGGGUACAUAGGUAUAUAUAGGAGGAAGGAGUACGUCGGUGGAGCACCGAGGGGCCCAUGAGGCAGGGGGCGCGCCCUAGGGGGGGCACCCCCCACCCUCGUGACCUCCUCUUUGACUCCCUGGAGUAGGGUCCAAGUCUCCUGAAUCACGUUUGGUGAGAAAAUCACGUUCCCGAAGAUUUUAUUCCGUUUGGACUCCGUUUGAUAUUCUGUUUCUCCGAAACACUGAAAUAGGCAAAAAAACAGCAAUUCUGGGCUGGGCCUCCGGUUAAUAGGUUAGUCCCAAAAAUAAUAUGAAAGUGGAAAAUAAAGCCCAAUAUAGUCCAAAACAGUAGAUAAUAUAGCUUGGAUCAAUCAAAAAUUAUAGAUACGUUGGAGACGUAUUAGCGGCUCAGGGGGGUGCAGGUUGAAGAUGAACUCCAAGCCCUCCCUAAACUACAUGUGAAGUGCCUCUCUGCUACCAUUGCGUUCAGUUUCGACAGUAACAUUCAGAUUCCACAGUAAAUUUUAGUUUCCACAGUCAAGUCCAGAGUCAACUGUUUUUACCUCAUCUAUUGUAGUCAAGUGGUUUUUGGUGGUAAUGUAUUUUACAUCAUCUAUAGGAGAUUCUAUUAGAAUCCCACUUGAGAUUAAUGAUGUUUGUCUUGUGCUGCUUCAGCCUCGACGUCUUACGGCUCACCGGAGCUGCUCCUACGACGGAACGAUCCAUCAAAACAGAGCAGUGCCCUGGACGCCGUCUAUAGAUUCCUCAGAUCUUCCUCCACACCUCCAACAGCCACCUCUGCCUCAACUUCUUCAGCGACCAACCCAAUGAUGCUGAGGUCGACAUGGCUAUGGCAAAGAGGUUGCACACUUGUUGCAUCACUUAUUACUCUACAUUCAUGUCGAUCCAUUAGAGCUAUUUUGGUUCAACGGAAAAACAAAGCAAUAGGAAAUUUUCCUAUGGCACUCUACUAUUCAAUUAUUCAUGCAUUUUGCUGGAAGGAAUGGAGCAAAACAUCCACCUAGACCUACUUUUCAAUAUCCUAUGCAUGAAAAGAAGACCAAGUGCAUUGGUGGCAGAAUAACAUUCUAACUGUACACACUUUCAUAUGGUUUCACUUUGUUUUGGCUAUGUUUCUUUGCAUUCCGCCGCUCUUCCAAUUCCUGUGAACCAAACACCCAAAUUAAAAGAAAUCCUGUGUUUACAAAUGCUCUAUUUACCAUGUGCUUUCCUAUCCUAUUUUGGUGUUUUUCCUAUCCAUGCGUUUUUAGAAUCAUGCAAGCCAAAUGAGCCUUACAGAAUUACUUCAGUUACAGGUAGGUGUCGAAGGAAACUUUGUGUCGUUUGUCCUUCUCCUGUCGUGACAUCGUCCACCUCACCUGAGCUCCUCCAUCGACAGAAGCAUCCACCAAACCAGACAUCAUGACUCCUGACCAUCUUUCGCCGCCUCAGAUCUCCUUCCCUACCGCCGGCACCCACCGCAACGGCAUCACCAUCAUCGACUCAGCAGAUGAACCUGAGGAGUACACGGGUCCACAAGAGAGGUCACACUCUUUUGUUUCUGCUUAUGGUAUGCAUUGCUUAAAAUUACCUGCUACUUUAUCGUCCUAUUCACCUCUUAGACUCCAAGUCAGGUCCAAAUUAAUGUUCAAACUUGAUUUCUAAAUUAGUUGUGGGGCACAUAUCGAGGCAACAAUGAAUAGUAUCUGUGUCUAAUAUCUGGUUCACCUAGGGUAUGCCUAUGUUGUUCAUCUUGGGUGGGAAACAAAUAGUAAAGCAAUCAUCAUCUAUCUUUUUUAUUAAAUUAAUGCAAUCAUCAGCCUGCUAUCAUUAUUUUUGGAUCCAUCCACUGGUUGUUACCAUCACUCUAGAUUUCCGCAUGCUCUCCUUACAUAAUCUGACCAUAUUUUUUUCGUAUGCAUGUCAGAUAUUGUACACAGUCAUGAUGAACAUGUAGAGAAAAAGAGAAGAGUUUUGCGCGGCAAUACAAUGUCAUGCAGACAUCGCUCCAUGGUGGGUUCAAUGGCAAACCCUCCCCCACUCUCCAGAUUGUAAUCCCGAGGAAGAUAUCUGUUCUGAGGCGGAUUCAGACACAGCUAACCACUCCUAUUUACCCCAAGGUGUUUGCUCUACCUUGGCAUGAUGAUGUUAGUCAUAUCAUGCAUAUGUUGCCUUGCAGUGCCUAGUUUUGACAUCAUAUAUGUCAUUUGCUUAGUUUAGACAUGUUCUGUAAUGCCAACUAUUUAGUUUCUAUAUCAUAUAUGGGAAUUAUGCAGUCUUAUGUCUUUUAGCCAGCCAUAAUAUAUGUGAAAUGUGCAAUGCCAUCCUGUUUAACCAGGCAUCAUAUAUUUGAAUGAUAUCUUGCCCAUCCUUUUCUUCAUUACAUUUCCAUUUGUCGAUAAUGUUUGUACAUUGAACUACUCUUAUUGUGAAUCAGCCAUUCGGGUGGGAGAUGGAAAAAUCUGGAGUGAAAACAAGUCCUUCAGAGCAGACAGUGCUACCUGUCGAAGCCUCUUGUUGGGCCCCGAUAGCUCCUCAGAGAUGGAUUCAGAGACAGAUGACCAGUCCUAUUCCCCCAUCGAGGUGUAUGCUCUAACUUGGCACGGUUAUACUGCUCAUAUCAUGCAUAUGGUGUAUUGCAUUGCAUAGUUUAGACAUCAUAUACACAAUAUUCAACACCAUGUUCUUAGUUCAGACAUCAUAUAUGCGAAUGCCCUCUGCUUAGCAUAUAAAUCACAUAUGUGAAUUAAAUCAUGCGAUCCUGAUUACUUAGAUAACAUGUAUGUGAAUUAUGUAUGCGAUCCUGUUUAGUUAUUCAUCAUAUCUUUGAAUUAUGUUAUGCUAUGCUAUCCAGUUUAGAUAGACAUCAUAUAGGUGAAAUUAUGUCAUGCUAUCCAUUUUAGUUAAACAAUAUACAUGUCAACUAUUUCAUGCCCUGUUUUUUCCACACUAUCUAUUGCAUCUGUCUCUCAUACAAUGUCUGCACAUUCAACUAUGUUUCAUGUUUAUCCGCCAUUUGAAUUGGAGUGGGUGAUGCCAGUAUCUAGAGGAGUAAAAACAUGGUCUUCAAAUAAAACAAUGCUACCUCUUGGUGAAGAUAGCACCUCGGUUGUACAUGCACGAGAACCAGCCCUACCACACAUAACCCAGACUCUCGCAGAUUGUACCCCUACUGUGAUGGACAGAGAACCAACUUCACCCAAUCUAACCCCAACCCUAGCAGAUAGUAACACAGUUCCUAUUGACACAACACCAUCUCCACCAUAGAGCUCCCAAACAAGAGCAGUUAGUAAGGCAGCUCCAGCGCCCAAAGGGCCAGUACUACCACGGCGAACCCCAACUCCACCAGUUAGUACGCCUAUUCCUGUGGAGGAAGCACAACCAACCAAUCGUAGUUUAGCAUCUAUCGCAUUUGAUGUUGUUAAAUCCUAUGCGCGUAUCUUCCCAUCAUGGAAAUAUUAUACUAAAGAUGAAGGAAAAUGCCAGUUAUAGCUGUUUGUCCAGGAGUUAUGUGUAAGUAAUGUUAUUCAUGGCAAUUACUUUGCUUUGUCCCAUACAUUCUACCUCCAUGAUGGUUAUAAUACAGAAAUUUUUCCCAUUUUCUAUAUAGAGAAGGACCAAUUUGGAAUCUCAAGAUGAGGUAACCUGUGCUAGUACCUCUACUAUCUUCAAGAAUGCUUGGUGGCAGUAUCGGAAUUACCUGAAGAAAGCGUACUUCACUAGCAAAGAAACUCAUCAAAUUCCCUUACGUUCUCCUGAGACACAUUUACUGGAUGAUGACUGGGAAUGCCUUGUUUUGUACUGGUCCCGAACCAAGAAUGUGGUAAGGUCUAUGAGCUCAUUUUCUAUUUUUAAGUACUAUAUUCUUGCAUCUUACUGUAGUCUGUUCAUGUAGAACAAGUGCUUAAACCUGAAGAACAACUAUUCUAAUUUAAGAUUCCAUUUCUAUCGUGCAUAUUGCUUUGCUCUUGUAUCACUGUAUUUACUCAUACAAACUUAUUUUUAAAUUGAAGGAUCCAAUCGGAACUCCAAUGGCACAACAGGUAUGUUCCCGCAUGUUUCUUUAACAGGUUUUCUCUUAUCAAUAACUCUGUUGAUUUCAAUUUGAGUUGUGUAUACAGUUGACCUCUCAUAUCAUGCACAUUACUAGCAUUACACCAUAGCUAAUAGUGUUGUUGUACAUGUAGACCCGUGGUACCCAUCUGGAAUCUUGUUGUGCAAUGUAGUUUCCCACGCUUUGUAUUCUAGCAGUGCUGCUUUGUCUUGAACUGAUAUGAUUUGAACCAUGUCUCUAUUUUUAUUUGGCAAUACAAUCCAGUGACCAUAGGAGAUAGAUAUAUGUUUGUUUGAUGCUUUUAUUAUGUACUGCUUGGCAAUAGAAGACUUGGUAGUUUAAUCUUGUCCACCUUACUAAUGAACUGGUUCACCGAAAUGAGUUUCAUAUACUACUACAUGCUAAACCUGUUAUGUGUCUACUUGUUUCUUAUUUUAGAAUGCUGACAGAAUAUUAGGGAAGAGUGCCUUAUUAAGCACUGGUAAAGGAAGUAAUGCAGAUAAGAGACAUCCUUGUUGGUUUCCAACAAAGCUGAUACAACAGCUAAGGAAAACUAUCUUGGAGACAGUGAGACAACCCCAAAGUCAUGUCUUGGUUUAGUGUUCGAGUUACUGGCCACUACCGCUUGCACAAGCUAUUCAAACUCACUGUCUGAAUCAGUUCGGUUUCUUGAGUCUCAACUACAAGCUGAAAGACAUCGAUUAGCUGUGCUGCGACAAGAAGCGGAAGGACUGUGUAAGUCCCUGGAGCAUUCAGAUGCAUACUUUCUGGUGCAACAACAAGUGUUGGAGGAUUUUAGCGUCAAACAGGAUAAAGCUAAUAAGAUUGCCAAGGUUAUUGCCAGCAUGCUGGAUACCCAGGAUAACGUUUCUUGAGCUCUUCGAAAACUGUUUCAGUUAUGGACUUGUUUUGCGGCCGCGUUUAUUUGCACUAGUGGCCAAUUUAGAUGACCAUUGUAUGUAAUAUGCUGCUUUGUUCCCUAUAUUUGCACUGGCGGCGAUCUUUGAUGCCCAGUGGAUGUAAUAUGUGUAACAGCCGUAAUAGCCUAGCGUUAGUUCCUUGCUUAUUUAUUUCCUUAUUGUCUUGUUUAGUUGUUUGCUUGUAGUCACUGUAGUUCUUUUUCCGCGUUUUUCUAGUGGCCACAAUAAAGUAGGCCACAAUAACCAUGGCAACACACGGACCGUUGUGACCAUGGUCUUGCUACCUGCGUAGUGACCAUGGCCCUCCACGGGCUGUACGAUCCAUGGGCCUUCCACGGGCCAUAAGAUCCAUGGGCCUUCUACGGGCUGUAGGAUCCAUGGGCCUUCUACGGGCCGUAGGAUCCAUGGGCCUUCUACGGACCGUCUCAUCUAUGGGCCUUCUAUGGGCCAUAUAAUCGUUUCGCCAAACAUGGGCCGUACUAUUCAUGGACAAAUGACGAACCGCAAAAUGGGCUAUAAACGGGCUAGAGUGGAAAUCAUCUGUUUUAUGGCCCGACCAUAACGGGCCAUUAAUGGGCCGUAAUUGAUAACGCUACGAAAACAGCCCAAUGUGUUAAUAGGCCACAAGUAGGCCGACUGUAACCACGGGCUGAAUUUGGCCCACAAACUGAACAUGCUAGUAACGGACCGUAAGUAUCGAAUUCUGGAAAUGAGCCAAAGAAUAAAUGGGCCCUUACGGUGGAUGCCACGUGUCGGUCACCUUUGACGAAUGCACUUCGGUCACCCUUGUCGACAAGAACCGGAAGGACUGCGGAAGUCCCUGGAGCAUUCAGAUGCAUACUUUCUGGUGCAACAACAAGCGUUGGAGGAUUUUAGCGUCAAACAAGACAAAGCUAAUAAGAUUGCUAAGGUUAUUGCCAGCAUGGUGGAUACCCAGGAUAACAUUUCUUGAGCUCUUCCGAAGUUGUUUCAGUUAUGGACUUGUUUUGCUGCCCUAUUUAUUUGCAAUGGUGGCCAAUUUAGACGACCAUUGUAUGUAAUAUGCUGCUUUGUUCCCUAUAUUUGCACUAGCAGUGAACUUUGAUGCCCAAUGGAUGUAAUAUGUGUAAUAGCCGUAAUAGCCUAGCGUUAGUUCCUUGCUUAUUUAUUUCCUUAUUGUCUUGUUUAGUUGUUUGCUUGUAGUCACUAUAGUUCUCUUUCCUCAUUUUCCUAGUGGCCACAAUAAAGUAGGCCACAAUAACCAUGGCAACACACGGACUGUUGUGACCAUGGUCCUGCUACCUGCGUAGUGACCAUGGCCCUUCAUGGGUUGUACGAUCCAUGGGCCUUCCACGGGCCGUAGGAUCCAUGGGCCUUCUAUGGGCCGUAGGAUCCAUGGGCCUUCUACGGGCCAUAGGAUCCAUGGGCCUUCUACGGGUCGUAGGAUCCAUGGGCCUUCUAUGGGCCCUCUCAUCAAUGGGCCUUCUACGGGCCGUAUAAUCGUUUCGCCAAACAUGGGCCGUACUAUUCGUGGACCAAUGACGGACUGCAAAAUGGGCCGUAAACGGGCUAGAGUGUAAAUCGUCUGUUUUAUGGCCCAACCAUAAAGGGUCGUUAAUGGGCCGUAAUUGAUGACGCUACGAAAACAGCCCAAUGUGUUAACGGGCCACAUGUAGGCCGACUGUAACCACGGGCUGAAUUUGUCCCACAAACUAAACAGGCGAGUAACGUACCGUAAGUAAUCAAAUUGUGGAAAUGAGCCCAAGAAUAAAUGGGCCCUUAGAAGGCCGAAAGUUAACACGGGCUGGAAACGGCAGACUGACUAAUGGGCCGUUAAUGGGUAUAAAGCGAUACACUGUUCAUUAUGGGCCAGUUUCACCACGGGUCGUUAAUGGGCCAAGAUUUACAAAGGGCCUCAUAUGGGCAGAAAGGCGUCAUGGGCCAGACAUUGGGCCGGAAGUUACAACGGGCUGGAAUCAUACUGGACGGCCCAGAUGAGGCUACUAGGCCUAGUUCGGGUACCGUAAUGGGCCGUAACCUAGCGGGCUGUAUAUGGGCUAUAUGGUAACAUGCCAUUAAUAGGCUUUCCAUGGGCCGGCCCGCUACCUCUUUGACCAAGUCAAAUGGGCCGACCUUUUCACCGGAAUGUGCCUCUGUUGGGCCGUGCCACGUGUCGACGUAUCAUAGGCGCCUCCUGUCCACUGAGUGGAUGACAUCUAUCCCAACGGUGAGCCAACACGUGUUUCCUCCGGCCAAUGAGAAUUUUACACGUGGAAAAUCCCCAUUGGUCCGGGCUAUUAACGGGUUAUCGGAUCCAAAACCGGACCUGAUAGCUUAACGGUGACCCGUUACGGUGGGUGCCACGUGUCGGUCACCCUUGACGAAAGUACUUCCAUGACGCGCCAUUUAUCGUCAUGGAAGUGGACACUUCCGUGAUGAUAAUUUUGAUAAUGUCAUGUAACACUUCUACGACAGCACAGGUAUGACUAUCUUGAUUCUGCCAUAAAAUCUUCAUGGAUGUACAUGCAUGACAGAAAACGCGACCUAUUGUGACAAACACGUAUCAUCACAUAAGUGUAUUUUUUUGUAGUGAAAGCACCAACUAGGGGGCACUAUGAUCGUACUUGAGCAUUGGGUGUAGUUAAUAUGCGAGUGUGUUUCAUGAAUGGAUCAAUGAUUGAGCAUGAUGGGCUAGGGAUAACUUAUUUUAGCAUUGAUAUUUUGGAAGACAUGGUUUCUUGGUGAUAUGCUUGAGUAUUGAUGUCCUCAUGUCAAAUUAUAGACUAUUACUUUGAAUCAUUGAAGUACAAAUGUCCAUGCUACAAAAGAAAAGAGUAUAUGAUGAAUAUGAUAGGUAGCAUUCCACAACAAAAAUUCCGUUUUAAAUUGGUACUUUAUCAUGAUAAGUUUUAUGAGAAAGAGUUGUUGUUAUGAUGCUAGGAAAAGUGAUUGAAAUUAUCAUUGCUCAAACUUAUGCACUUUGCUAGCAUUCACAGUUCAUAAAUUAUUUCUUUUAUCAUUCACCUACUCGAGGACGAGUAGGAAUUAAGCUUGGGGAUGCUGAUAAGUCUCCAACGUAUCUAUAAUUUAUGAAGUAUUCAUGCCAUGUUUACAACAAUUUUAUAUGGUUUUGGUAUGAUUUGCAUGGAACUAACCCGGACUGUGGCUGUUUUCAGCAAAACUACCAUGGUGUUGUUUUUUUGUGCAGAAAUGAAAGUUCUCCAAAUGAGUUGAAACCUUUUGAUGAUUUUUUUGGAACAAAAGAGACCCCCGAAGCUUCAUGGGAGGGCCAGAAGAGCCACGAGGAGGGCACAACCCACCAAGGCUCACCUGGUGGGCCUGGCUUGCCCCGGUGGGUUGUGCUCACCUCGAGGCCCAUAUUAGCGUGAAACCAACGUAAAAAAUUCCUAUAAAUAGAGAAACCAUAGGGGUUAACCUAGAUCAGAAGUUCCGCCGCUGCAGGCCUCCGUAGCCACCGAAAACCAAUCUAGACCCCGUUCCGGCACCCCGCUGGAGGGGGGAAUCAUCUCUGGUGGCCAUCUUCAUCAUCCCGGCGGCCACCACGAUGAGGAGGGAGUAGUCCACCCUCGGGGCUGAGGGUUUGUACCAGUAGCCAUGUGUUUAAUCUCUCUCUCUCUCUCUCUCUCUCGUGUUCUUGAGAUGUCAUGAUCUUGAUGUGUCGCGGGCUUUGUUAAUAUAGUCGGAUCAUAUGGUGUUUUCCCCUCUCUAUCUUGUUGUGAUGAAUUGAGUUUUUCCCUUUGAGAUUUCGUUAUUAUCGGAUUGAAUACUUUUAUGGAUUUGAGAGUACAUGAUAUAUAUCUUGCAAAUGAAUACUCCUAGUGACAAUGGGGUCUUAUUUUGAUUCACUUGAUAUAUGUUUUGGCACUCAACUCACGGAUUCCCGAGGUGACAUUGGGGUAAUCUACGCAUAGGGGUUGAUGCAUGUUCUUGUCUUUGUUUCUCUGGUAGAAAUCUUGGGGCACUCUUUGAAGUUCUUUGUGUUGGAUUGAGUAUUAUGAAUUUGAAAUUAUUUGGUGUUAUUUAGUACGAACUCUUGGAUAGAUCGAUUGGAAAGUAUAGCUUCAAGGUGGUUUCGUACCCUACAAACGAUUUCUUCUUAUGUUCUCUGCUAGAUAGGAACUUUGGAGUGAUUCUUCAUCGCACUUUGAGGGGUGGUUAUAUGAUCCAAUUAUAUCAGCAUUGUCUAGAGAUUGCACUAGCGAAAGUACGGACCCUAGGCCUCAUUUUCAAGCAUUGCAAUACCAUUUUUGUGCCCGUUUAAUAUUUGCUACCUUGCUGUUUUUAUUUAUUCAGAUUAUAAAAAUAUAUUUCUACCAUCAAUAAUUACACUUUUAUCACCAUCUCUUCACAGAACUAGUGCACCUAUGCAAAUUACAAUUGUAUUUGGUGUGCUGGGGACACAAGAGACUUUUUAUUAUUUGGUUGCAGUGUUGUUUGAGAGAGACCAUCUUCAUCUUACACCUCCCACGGAUUGAUAAACCUUAGGUCAUCCACUUGAGGAAAAAUUGCUACUGCCCUACAAAACUCUGUGCUUGGAGGCCCAACACGUGUCUACAAGAAGAAAAUGAUGUAGUAGACAUCACCUACCUGUGUGGUCUGCUUGCAUCGCUAAUUCUCAUUGCCUCUCCUCUUAAACCACCUAGCAUGGAACCACCUCCUUAGGGAAACUCCAACGCGUCGAUGCAAAUGGUCUGCACUUGUCCAUUUGGGUCGAAACAGACGAAAACAUUGGCCUAACGCACCGAGCAAACCCAAAAUCUAUCUGCUUGCUAUCCAUCUGGACGCAUUCCCAACUCAAAUUUGCAUCUAAUUUGCUUCCAGUCAGACAUGAGAUGGACGGGCCGCGCGCCCCCUUGAUGUCUGCCUUGGGCCCGCGUGUCGGCUGCCCAACUACCCCACACAGCUGCAGUCAAUGGGGCUCUCCACUUCUCCUACCACUCCCCUCCACAUCUGACCACACUCACUCCCUCGUUAGUGACAGAAAAACCUAACUAGCCCGUGGGUCCGCCAUGGGGUUCUUCAACAACAAGUGCAAGUUCGACGAUGGCAGUGGCUCAUCCUGCGCACAGCCAGAUGCCUUAAUGUUGGUGCCGCAAGAGGGGAGGACUCGCCAGCCACAUGACUGGCUCUACAUCCUGGUGCACCACGCACAUUACCACUAGCAGUACCGCAUGCCACUAUCGUGGAACGACGUCAACCUCCCCCACGGCUAGCACCAGCACUGCAUCCCGGUGCUGGUAAUGUUGAGGUCAAUGCGGUGCACACAUGUAGGAGGUGUGCAGGCCCCGUUCCUUCCUGGUGCCAGAGCGGUGUCGCGACCCUACGUACGCGCCAGACUCCCCCAAAUGGGAAGUCUGGCUCGCCGCUACUUGUGAACUGCGUUAGGAUUUCCCCGAAGAGGAGAGGAUGAUGUAGUACAAUGGAGAUACGUAUUUGGCACAACUUUAGGUUUAAAUGCACUAGCAGUAUUUCUGCUUAGUACAAGUGGAGGCUAGCAAAUAGAUUGAGAAGCGACCAACCAAAAAAUGAAAACGGUCAUAAACAUGCAUUGAACAUAACUAACACUGAAGAAUGCACCGUAAGUAUGAUGUAACUUCGUUGCAUAACUAUUGACUUUACGUGCAUGCAUACGGAAUCACAAACCUUAACACCAAUAUUCUUACUAAAGCACAAUUACUCACUAGCAUAACUCACAUAUUAUCCUCUCCAUAUCGCAAAACUAUUGCAAGGAAUCAAGCUUAUCACAUCCAAUGAUCUAUAUGAAAGUUUUUAUUAUAUUCCUCUUGGAUAUUCAUCAUAUUGGGACCAAAUUCAUAUUUUGUGCAAAUUACCAUCACUAUUAUCAACUCUCAAAAAGAUAUAAGUGAAGCAUGAGAGUGCAAAUAUUUACAUAAAAUAUAAUCUUAUCAACUCUCAAAAUAAUAUAAGUAAAGCAUGGGAGUGCAAAUAUUUCUUUAAAAUAUAAUCACCGCCGUGCUAAAAAAGAUAUAAGUGAAGCACUAGAGCAACUGUCUAGCUCAAAAGAUAUAAGUGAAGCACAUAGAAUAUUCUAACAUAUCAUGAUAAACGUGUGGCUCUCUCAAAUAAGUGUGUUCAGCAAGGAUGAUUGUAACAAACUAAAAAGCAAACAAAUCAAAGACUCAUAUAAUACAUGACGCUCCAAGCAAAACUCAUGAUAUGUGACGAAUAAAAAUAUAGCUCCGGAUAAAAUUACCAAUAGUUGGUAGAAGAAAGAGGGGAUGCCUUCCGGGGCAUCUCCAAACUUAGUUGCUUGGGAAUCUUUGAAUAUUAUCUUGGGGUGCCUUGGGCAUCACCAAGCUUAGGCUCUUGCCACUCCUUAUUCCUUCAUCCAUCAUGAUCUCACCCAAAACUUGAAAACUUUAAUCACACAAAACUUAACAGAACCUUCAUGAGAUCCGUUAGUAUAAUAAAGCAAAUCACCACUUUAAGUAUUGUUGCAAACCGAUUCAUAUUUUGUUAUUGCAUUAUACCUAUUGUAUUCUAACUUUACCAUGGCUCGUACCCCCGGAUACAAUCCAUAGAUUCCAAAAUAAGCACACAAUGCAACAAAAACAGAAUCUGUCAAAAAUAGAACAACCUGUAGUAAUCUGAACAUUGACCAUAUUUCUGUUACCCAAAAAUUCUGAAAAAAAGGACAACGUGGGAAAUUUGUAUAUAAAUUAUGUGUAACAAAUUCAGAGCAAAAUCAUGUUUAUGUGAAUUUACAAAAUUCCAGAACUGAGCACAAAAGUUUUUUUUCACAGAAUCAAAUCAACUAUCAUCCAAACCAUCCUAAAGGCUUCACUUUGUACAAACACUAACUAAAACACAAAAACACAAUCAUAAUAGUAGCAUAAUUGUGUUCUUAUUAAAAACAGAAAAGAAACAAAAAAAAAA
rnacentral:lncRNA from 1 species